rnacentral:lncRNA from 1 species
UUUUUGUUUGGUUUCACCGAUUGAACUGUCGAUUCGUUGACUAUUUAAUGAAUUUCUUGUUAGAACUAUCUUCUAAAAAUUAAUUAGUGACUCAAUCCGAUUCUAUAAUGGUUGAUCGGUUUAACCGUGGAAUGGGACCAGUUUUAAAAUUGUGGUUAUGAGGAAGAAGAUGCUUCCUAGGGAUGACAACGGGGUGGGGGACCCCUCCCCCAUCCCCCGCCCCGCUGCCUACAAACUCCCCCCGCCCUGUCCCCGCCCCCGCCCUGCUUCCCCCGCGGGACUAAUAAAAAUUUGUUAUAUAAUUUUAUUAUGGUUAAAUUUUAGCAAAUAAUUAAGUACUAAAAUAUUAACACAUCAUCAAAUUAUUAUUCAUUAUAAUUUUACAAUUGAAACUUAUAAAAACAAUCAAACAAAAAAUAUUUGAAUACAAUCCAAUAUGAUGAAAUAAAUAUAACUAAAGUAGGCAAGUUUUCACUUUUGGCGCAAAAACAAUCACUAAUUCAUUAUUGUGCUUGUGCUUUUUUUAAGAAAAAAAUAUUAUUGUAUUAAGUGUAAUUAGGGAUUUAGUAUAAAUGUAUUAGUAAAUUUAGUAUAAUCAAUUAAUAAUUUGUAUUAGUAAACAUAUAUAAUUAUUAGUAUAAUUAAUAAUAUCAAUUAUAUUAUAUAUACUAAUAGACAUUAUAUAAUACAUAUAACUAAUAAUAUCACUAUUAUAAGUUUGUAACUAAUUAAAUUAUAUAUUAUAUAUAUAAUUAUAUAUAUUUUUUAUAUAUUUAUUUUUUUUAAAGCGGGUGGCGGGACGGGCCUGCGGGGCGGGUGAUUGCCGUCGCUACUCGCUAAUGCUUCCGCUGCUGCUGCUGACAAGUAAGACGUAUGACGUGGGAGUAGGCCCUACACUUCGGCUAAAAUUUCAGAGACCAAUCAGAUUAUCGGAAGUGCGAGCUGGAAGACUUGCCCCAGAUCGAAAAACCCCAAAAUCCGACCCACACCGUAGAAAAGGCAGCCCACCGUCACGUCCGCCUUACGCCCCUUACCCUUAGCUCGAAAGGAAACUUUUCCAUCUUCAGAUGCUCUGCCAGUGGACAGAAAUCAGAAAACAUACGUACAGUACAGAAGAAAAAAACACAGGCGAAUAAAAGAUCCAAAGAUGGUUAAGGCAUUGCACGUGUGCCUCUCACGUGUUUUUCUUUCCCUCUUGUGCAUACUUUUUCCCUCAGAAUUCUUUCAUUUCAAGUUUCAACCCAACGAAGGAAAGAAAUUUUUUUUAAAAAAAAAAGGAAGAAAGAAAACAGAUUGAGAGCAGAAAAGUAUAAGAUUCUACUCACAUCAUACUCAAUCAUAAUUGAUUGAAGAAGUACCUCUCCGGGAGAAUACUCGCAUUCACGUGGUUUCCUUUUCCUUGUUCAUCCAUUCAUGCAUCCCAAUUCUGAAACUUGCAAGAAUUUCAAUCGUUGAACAGUUCUCAGAACUGCGAAAGGCGCUAAUGCGUGAAAUGGUCAGAACUUGCAAGUCUUUUCUUUCUUUCUUUCUUAUUUUUUUUUCAAAAGAUAUAUAAAUUAGUCCUUUUCUUUCUUCCAAUUUUUUUUUUUUUGUCGUGAAUUUGGUUAAUUUUGACGAGUUUGACAAUACGACCAAAACUCUCAUUGUCACCGACUGAUUGGUAAUUGGUAUGGUAAGUUUGUCACUUCGGUUCGUGGUUGUCCCUGCUUCCUGUCAGCACGACAUACUCUUGCGCCAGAAGUACACAAGCAGUGUUGCUGUUUGGGAAGAGACAUCUGCCAACCCCAGAAAACUAAACAGCUCCGCAAUGGUUUGUUUGGAUAGAGUAUUAUUUGAAAUAAUUACUGUAGCAUUUUUUGUGAUGUGAUGUAUGUGAGAUAAAAAAAUAAUUGAAAAUAUAAAAAGGUGGAUUGGAAAAUGUGUUUAUGAUACAAGCGAAAUAUCAUUUGAGAUAUUUGUGCUAUCCAAACACUCUAUAAUUUGCAACUUUAUUUUUUUUUUGGGAUAAUUUAUUUUAACACUUUUUCAAUUGUGAUAUAGUAUAUGAUAUUUAAAAACUAAUAAAAAAUCUUGUUUAGCAAAUAAUAUGGAAAAAAAAUUCUUUUUGAAUAAAUUUUCAAUUACUAGUUCCUUUUUUUUUUCUUCUUUUUAAAUAAAAAAAAGCACCUUUUUUUUUUUGGAAAAAUUGAGGAUUUUGUUCCAGACUUAUACUCGCUGACUCCUAAUCUAGCCUUUUUGAAGUGAAUUUAUCAAUUCCCAAAAUUUCUGUACUGUUUCGUUUGCUAGGACUGGUGGAAGAUGUUAUCUACAUCUUAUGGAAUUUCCCACCCAACUUUAUUAAGCAAUUUCAACAAUUUAGUCGAAAAUAUGUUCUUCUUAUCAAAAAAAAAAAAAAAAGGAUUGGUGGAAGGAGAUGCUACCUACAUCAUACGUAAAACCCGUCCAUGCGAGAGUUUGGUUGGAAUCGUGAGUUCUUAAUGCAUGUGUUUUCAUGGGUACAUACAAUACAAUAAAUGACGUAGUGCCUAAAACGGAUUCCUUCGAGGAUGAUUUACCCGCAUACAGUAACUAUUAGACUCAUCAGCGCGAUGCGCAAGUGCAGUUUUCAAAGUGUUGCGUAAAAAAAUCCCGAUCACCAUAAAAAACAAGAAAUAAAAAAUUAGGCCAUAAAAAGGUAACUGUCGAGUACAUAAUUUUUUUUUUUUUAUUGUUUGUUUAGAGGGCACUACAAUUCUUAUAAUAAAGAGAAAAAAAGGAGAAGGAAGGAAUUGAGAGGUGAACCUCAUUGUUAUCUUCUUCUAAUUAAUAAAUAAAUACUCCUAUGAACAGUAACUGUUUCGUUGCCAUCGUUGCAAGAGGAGCUUUCUAAUGGCAAUGGACCGGUUGUUUUUCUAUCCGACAGCAUAUACAAGGCUAAUAUCGUCAUCUUUUUGUCAAAAUCUAUUCUUCAAAUAUAUGCUAUAUAUGCUAAUGCAAUUAAAGCUAAACUUGGCGACAGAGUCCACGAAUUUAUUCCUCUCCUCCUAUAUUUUGAUGCUUAAAUUAAUUAAAAAAAAAAAUUUAUGCCUUCUGUUACGAGGCCAGGCUUGACAUUAAAAACUCUCUCGAAACGAAUAAAUUCAACAAAGAUAUGCCACCAAUGUUAUAGGUUUGACCACACGCUGAGUUUUCAAUUCAUCACCGUCUUCUUCCUUGCUUGCUGGAGCAAUGUUACUCAACUCUUUUGUCCUCCCAUUUUCAUGAUUACCGGUGCGGGGGAGCGGGUGCAAGCAUGAAAUAGCCCACAAAGUACAAUCCUCACAGCAUAUCGUACACCUGUAUAGUACCUCCAAAUUCAAGUUGGUGUAGCUUUCAAUUCUCUUGUUGGAGCCUCUGCCGUCCCGGGAAAAUGCGCCGUACCUUAUAAUGAUCAGUUCCCAAAAGAAGGGGCGUUCCAAUCGCUGCUACAUUGCCUCGCCACCACAGCCUGCUGAUGAUGGAGAAUUCAUCAAGAAAUGCACCAACAACCAAAGUCCUCCCUCGUAAAAACACCCAGUUUACAGAGUAUUACUACCUAAACUGCGUAAGUAUCUAUGAGAAAAUUGGCGCCCUGUAACUGACAGUCCUGACAUCCCUAAAAACUACAUGCCCAUAAAGUAAAGAGCCCGAACCUCCCAAAAGCAAAAUGACUACUGCUCAGUACUCACAAGGGGCAGGCAACCAAAAGAAUAAAAUAAAUGAAAAGAAGAAGAAGAAAAAAAAAAAGAGGAUAUCAUCCCCUCCCCCACCACCCCCGCCCCCCCCAACCCCACCCACCAUAAAGGGCUGCUAUGAACUAAAAAUAAAAUUGAAAAGUCCGUUAAAAUAAAAGACAAAGCCACCUUAACCCUUCUAUUAAUACCAGGCAAAGCGGGCGGAUGAGGCGAGACACAUAGUAGAGAGUAGAGAGGGGAGUGCUCUUCAUGAGAGGAUCUCCAGGGAUAAUUUGUCUUCUUCACACUUCAUAGUUGGCUUGGUUAAAACCCAAAAGUACAAAAAAAAAAAAAAAAAAAAAAAAAACAUGAAGAAGUAACAGCUGCACAACUCUUUUAAGUCCUAUUACUACUACUGAGUAACCAUAUCUGUAUAUUUUCUUUCUCUUCCAUCAUCAUAUCAUCUUCCAAGCUAGAGUACUACAAAACUCCAACGAUGUGCAAUCCAAACACUACCCCCAAACUCACCACCAUCUCCGUGAUUGAUCAUCAAAAGAUUACCUCCUCCUCCACCUCCACAAGAUCACCACGGCCACCAUCUCAAACCCACUUUUAUUUCGAUCUGUUAUCCCUCCCCACCCCCUUAAAAGUCCAGGAAAACCCCAAAGAAAACCAACAAAAUCCACCCAAAUUUGCCCUACCUUCACCCUCGGAGAUCGUUCAAGAAACCAAAGCCCUCUUCAAGCUAUCCUUCCCCAUAGCAAUCGCAGCCCUCAUCCUCUAUGCCCGCUCCAUUCUCUCCAUGCUCUUUUUAGGCCAACUCGGCGACAUCCAGCUUGCCGCUGGCUCUCUAGCUAUGGCCUUCGCCAACAUAACCGGUUAUUCCGUUCUUUCCGGUUUAGCACUAGGAAUGGAGCCGCUCUGUUCUCAGGCUUUCGGAGCACAGCUUCCCAGGCUUCUUUCCCUAACGCUGCAAAGGUCCGUUAUAUUUCUUCUGGCUUGCUCCAUCCCAAUCACAUUUCUUUGGAUCAACAUUUCCCAUAUUCUUCUUUAUUUGCACCAAGACCCCAUUAUCACCCGAUUGGCCCGCACCUACCUUGUUUUUUCACUCCCUGAUCUUGUCACAAAUUCUUUUAUUCACCCCAUACGUAUUUACCUUCGGGCUCAAGGUAUUACUUAUCCGCUCACCUUGGCUUCUCUGGCUGGCACGGCUUUGCACUUGCCCAUCAACUAUGUUUUGGUCAUCCAGCUCCGGCUCGGCGUGGCAGGCGUUGCUGCUGCGGCUGCCAUCUCCAACCUGGUGGUCCUGGUGACGCUCGUCUUGUACUUGUGGGCUACCGGCUUGCACGCCGCAACAUGGACGAAGGUGAGCGGAGAGUGCUUGACCGGCUGGGGUCCGCUCAUGCGGCUAGCCGCGCCGAGCUGCGUCUCGGUUUGUCUGGAAUGGUGGUGGUACGAGAUCAUGAUAGUGCUGUGUGGCCUCUUGGUGGACCCUAAGGCCACUGUUGCAUCCAUGGGCGUCUUGAUUCAAACGACGUCGCUGCUGUACAUAUUCCCGUCCUCGCUCAGCUUCGCGGUGUCCACGCGGGUCGGUAAUGAGCUCGGAGCAAACCGGCCCGAAAGGGCUCGGGUCUCAUCCGUGGUGUCGAUCUUCAUAGCGGGCCUGAUGGGCUUAUCAGCUAUGGGCUUCGCAACAUCCUUGAGGGACUUGUGGGGUCGGAUGUUCAUUGAUGAUGGCAACAUCCUACGGUUGACAUCAGCGGCGCUGCCGAUUCUGGGACUGUGUGAGCUAGGCAACUGCCCACAGACCGUUGGAUGUGGGGUUGUACGUGGGACCGCCCGCCCGUCCACAGCAGCUAACGUGAACCUUGGGGCAUUCUAUCUUGUGGGUAUGCCAGUGGCAAUUGGUCUGGUGUUUGGGCUUGGGGUUGGAUUCUGUGGGCUUUGGCUGGGGCUUCUGUCGGCCCAGGUUUGUUGCGCGGGGCUGAUGUUGUAUGUUGUAGCCAUCACAGACUGGCAGUUCGAAGCCAACAGAGCGCAAUUUCUCACGUGCGAAGGAGGAUGCGGUGGUGACAGCAAGACGACUCCUCCUCCAUUGCCUGGUGAAUGCGACAACGAAAUAGAGCCGUUGAUUUGUGUGACGGUGACGUCGUCGUGAUGAGAAUUUAACAAAAUUAAGUAGACCCCAGUGAUGAAAUCUUUGGUUUACAAUUUCUAAAAUUUUUUUUUUUUUUUGGGUGGGGUGCUCAGCUCGGAGCUUAGCUCAGUCGGAUUAAGUGAUCUUGAUUUGUGAAGACACUUAUCUUUCUUUCUUUUUCUUUUUCUUUUUUUCCAAAAACUCGGGGGUGGUGGGGUUUGACCCCUUCAAAGGAUUCAGCGAGGGUUUUUCCUUGUAUCUUUUUCCGUUAUUAAUUUCGGGUCCCUCCGCCUAUUUUUUUUUUUUUUUUUUGGCAAGGAUGCUGGCACUUUUUUAGUCUGCGAUGUGAAUAUCGUUUGAGCUUUGUUUCACCUUUUCUUCUGGUGAUAAAUGACAAUUAAUGGACUAGGACAUGAUUCUUAUUUUUGUUUGUCACUUAGUAGUUAGUGUGCAUGGAGGUGGAAGGUUGUACGUAUGUUGACGCUCAUGUUAUGGAAGUUGUAUGAGGGGUAUCCUUUAGGUAUUAUUCAUCUUUGUUCUCUUGUUCUGCAUUCGAUCUCUUCUUCACUGAUAGGAGUUCUAAAAAAACUUUUAAUUUAUUUCUUGUUCUUUCAAUUAUCAAUUGUAAACUGACUGUCACCACUCAAACAUUGCCAUCCAAUUUAGUCCGUAAAAAUGGUGAUAAUGACAUGGAAAUGCUACUCCUUAAUUCCAUGGGGAAGACAUGGCCUAAACAGCCUAUACCUCCGCAGGUUCAGCCUUGGACCCUUGCUGAAGAGUGUCCUCUUGACCUUCAAGACUACAGAUGCAUGUCUCUUGAUAUCGGUCUCUAGUAUCACUAAGGUGCAUUGUCAUGUUAUUGUGCAUAUCCGAUUGAGAAGGAUGGCACAUUGCAGCAUUGUUGUCACAUGUAUAUAUAUAUAUAUAUAUAUAGCUAUAUCCAUCACGGAAAUGGGUAGCAAUACUAAUGGUAGGAAAUGAGGAAGCUAGUGCUGAUGUAGUGGAAGAUGUAUUUGGUACCUCUCUUAUCAUUGAAGUAUAAGCUGCAAGUCUGCUUUAACCAAGUCAAACUCUCUCUCUCUCUCUAAAAAAAAAAAAAAAGGAGAAUAAGUUAAACGUACUCCUUCCCUUCCUUUCCAUACUUCUUGUUUAUUUAAGAGUAAAGUUUUUGAUCUACUUGUGAAAUAGCAGAAUGUGUGGACAAUGGUGAAGCUUCUUGGUGUCUCAAUUCCCUCCUCGUACUGUGGACAGAAACGAUACGAGAGAGGAGGCAAGGAAAAAUGCAGGUAAAGGAAGAAAACAGCACAAUAUUAAUUGUUCAAGGUUGCAGAAGGGAGAGACUAGUUGCGGAAGUAUAUAGGCUGCUGUCUGCAUUUCCAGUGGCAUGAACCUUUAAGAGGGGGCAGCAUCACUCUUUUAAGUCUUUUAACUUAUCAGCCAUCAGGCCAUCCAUCUCUUUCAAGUAAAUAUUGUACUCCCAAAUUUAUGUUGUUGCUAUCUUCUCAGGAACAGUAGUGCACAGUCAAUUAUAUAUCUCCCUUUCAUCAAUUUCCAUUUCUGGUUUCAACUUGACGAGUUGGUGCUCCUGAUUUCCACACAAUACACCUUCUAUCCUUUUCAUGUUUGCCUAUGAAUAGACUGACUGUUGGACCUACUGCUUUUCCGUGGGCCUUAGCCAUCAAAUUCAUCAAAUAAUUGAUCAAAUUCCCACACAACCUAUUUUUUGACUACUGAGUAAAUCUUAUAUAGAGGGACAGUGUAUAUCUUAUUACUGUUGUAUUCAUGAUAUAUAUGUAAAAGUUAAAUUUUAAAUUCAAAAUUUACAUAUUUAUCAUUCAUCUAACGCCUAUCAAUGUAAGAAAGAUUAAUCCUUCUCGAUUUGCCAUUUUAACGGAAUAGACAUAAAUCCAUUGGAGUUGCGAACAAAUACCGUCCUAGCUCUUACUCGAUACAUAUUUUCACAUUGCAGUACUUACUACAAACACCCCCGACCCCAAACCUUCUUCUUCUCCUUCUCCUCCUCUGACCUAUACUACACUAUUAUCUACUUACUAAAUUACAGUUACUUUUCUUUUUCUUUUUGGGUUCUUGCAGCAGACAUGCAAGCCGCCUUUUCGGCAACGUAGAGGACCUGUUUGCCCACUCGACGAGGACUUCCCCUAAAAGUAAAACCAAGCCACAUACGUCAAAGUAUAAGGAACCUUCCCCAUAUGAAACGAUCUUAAUAUAAGGAACUCCUGCAUUUUGAUACAUAUGAAACCAUCUUAAGAGCUCUCCUGGUAAAACAUUCCCCUCCCCGUAGGAUAAGCACAUACUUAGUUUCCUUUCUCAUACAUGUAGAUCCAAGUGUCUGGGAUAAUCUAAUUAAAUGAGAUAAUAACUAACAAAAGACCUCUUUAAAAAUGUGGUAUCACUGACUUCAGAAGCCGUUCAUAUUUUCCUGAUUCUGCAUUCAACAAUAUUAAUAUUUACUAUUUAGCUAUUUUACAAGUUUCACUAAUUAUUUCUCAUUUGCUCCUUCGAUUUCGAAUUCCUAUCCUACUUAUCAACAGAUUUAUAUAUAAUCUGUGAAAGACUCUAAUGAGGACACUUUUAUCCUGCAUUCCGGAUCCUAUUCGUGUUCUGAAGAUUUUCAAAGGAAUAACUAAUUUGAAACAUAGCUUCAGCAUGAGUAGCAUUGAGAAUUUGAAAUUACGGGUCCUCAGCAAUUCCUAACUUGAGGCUAGCUGCAAUCCUUUCACUCAUCAUUCGCUUAUCAAGGACGUGAAAUUACUUGUAGAAGGUUCGGUUUGAGAUUAUCCAUAAAUUUAAAGUUCUUGAAAUCUAUCCUCUUUCUACCCUAACCACUUCAGUCCAUACGCACCAUUUAUUGAAACUUCCACUCUUCUAACCAAGUUAAUAAUCAUCUAGUAUUGAAGAACAGGGGCAGAGCUAAGUGUAGUUCCCCCACCCCCAACCCCAACAGAAAAAAAAAAAAUCAUUUUGAAAAAAAUCAUUUUGUAAGCCAAGAAAGUUUGAAAACUUUGCAAGUUACUCUCUGUCCCCCCCCCCCCCCCCCCAAAAAAAAUUGAAAUUCUUUUUUCUAUUUACAUUCUCCACCUGCUAAACAAUGAAGAGACCCAUAAUUGUUACGCCUAAGAAGGGUCUUGAUUUAAGGUUUAAUAUGGAUGUUAGUACAAGAAUAAAAUCUUUUAACGUUUUUAAGCUCUUUACUGCCACAUUAUUGCACAAUCAAGACUUAGAGUAUAAUAACAUAGAAAAAAAAGAUGCAUGCUUAACUUUUGUGUCCUUUGAACUCUACUGAUACUACUAUUUAUGUGGUGUCAGGGAUUUACCCUGAUCUUAGGAUCCUGGCACCACUGAAAAUGUAUGUACUAUAACUCUAAUGAAUUCAUGCACGAGCCUGUUGCUCAUCAGCAGGAAACCUUCCAGAAGUUGCUUAUCAAAAUUAGCAGAACACAUGGAACUCUGAUUACAAGAACUUCGCGGAAGAUCCCGAAGUACAAUAAAUUCUGAUUUUUGUCAUUAGUAGGACUAGCAUUUGACAGAUAAGUUAUAGUGCUCAUUCACUUUAGUUUGCCAGGCCUAGCAGCAGCAGCAGCAGCAGCUAGCUGUUACAAAUCCUACAUAUACAACAAUGCAUAAUGGAGAGAGCCUUGGGAAUAGAUCUAGGCUCAUAGUCCCCAGUCCCCACUCCACCCUCAUUGGUUCGUUUCCAAGGAGAUGACUGAUGAGGAGGUCAUGGCGGCCAUCCUCUUCCAAAUAAACUAGAAAGAAUAAGAAGAAGAUGAUGAAAAAGAAAACUAUAGCGACGUCAUCCUAGGCCAUCAUGCUUUUCACAUGGUCGCCCUAAUAUUAUACUAGGCAGCAAAUUUUGCAUUAAUCCCAGUUCUCUGUUUCCCUUUCUUGUCCCCUUACCUCAAUAUUCUUCUCCUCUUUUCAUGACUAGUGAGUGGUUUCUCCAUAUCAUUCGUUCCCAUCUCUGAUCUCCCGCUACCUUCCAAGUUCCAACACCACCACCAUCAUCCAAACCCACUCCAUCAUGCCUGUCUAUACAACAAAAGAGCAGCAGCAGUACCUAGCUAGAAUUUUCAAUAUCUGUUAUGUCAUCGAUCAAACAUUGGAAGUACUUAAUUUGUCUAUAUCUAUUCAAAAGCUUAGGAGAGUAGUAUAACGAUAUAGCCCCUUGCUUUUGUCCACCUUAUGAGCAACAUUUUAGGCAAUGGGGCUAUAGACCUGCAUGAGCAGUGUUUUGAUGAGUUCCCAUGAUUUGCUCAACUUAGUAUUUCUUUAUUUCACCAAUUGAAUUAGCAUGACAUGUCUCCGCUGGAGGAGCUGAUCUUUCUUACACAUGACUCUGUAUGGUACCAUAGCAUGUUAUACAGGCUUCAUUCAUUUGACUCUAAUCUCCCCUUCUGUAUUACUACAAUUGUAUAUUUUCCCUCUGGGCUCGACAUAUGGGGACCCACAUCAGGAAUGUGUGAUGAUGAAUGAUUGAUGCCACAAGCAUAUUGUACGUUUGAAGGAAUAAAAAUAUAAGAAUAUUGCAUGCAGGCAUGCCUUCUUGUUAGCUCUGUCUUCAUGUACUUUCAUAUUGGCAACUUGUACUAAAAAGAUCGGAAAUGGGGCAGGAACGGUUGUCAGACCCGUUCCUGCGAGUUCACGGCUGUGAUUUUGGCCCAAAAAUUUGUGCGGCUCAGAUCACAUGUGAUAACUCGAUUUUCACACCAUGUAUGGAUCCCACAAAAAAGUAUUCUAAAAUUACGCUAUGUAUAAAGAAAGUUACACCGUGUGCUAUCGAUGUUACGCGCAGUGCAAAAUGCACACAAUUGGUACAAACGGUUGCACUGCAACCGUUUGUACCCCUUGUCCAGAAAGAUCUAUUUUUAGAUGGGGCAGUAGUUAAUGAUCAAUUAAUCCAGGGUUGUCUUCGCAUGUAUCAUGGUCACAAUGUCGUGACGACUGAGCCAGGGAUUUGAGUGUUUGGUAACAGGCAAACUCACAUGCAGGUUACAGAUCUAGGGUUACACUGCUAAAUUUUCAAAAAAGUUUAUGUUCCGGGGAAGUAAUUCUAUUCUAACUGGUUUACCAGCGUGAUCGUGCCCAACUUGUCGUGGCUCGAUUAAUAAGAUCUUGACUUUGUAUUACGAGCGAUUACAUUCAAAUUCAGUAGUUAAUCAUGUAUCUAUCACUGUCUAAUUUGUUGAUCACACGUUUUCAUCUCGAAAUGGGAUGAGCCUUCUCCCUCUAAAUUGUUUUCUAUUUCAUCCAAAAAAUCACCACCAUAUUUGUGGAUAUCCAUGAUGCCUGGAGAAAAAGGAAAAAAAAAAAGAAAGGGAUGAAUCAUUAAAGCUUUCAACGAGGCCAUUUGUCCAUCCCUAGGGGCAUCAGCCGCUAAUGGAUUGUGGGAAAAAGUAGUACUAUUCUGGUUUGUUGCUUCAUCAAGCUUUGGCAAAUGUUCAUCUCAAGUCUUUGAAGACUCUAUACGAUCAGGUUAUGCAGCGUGGACCUUUGUCUCCAGGUCCUCUGCAGGUAGUUAUUUUUCUAGUAUAGUAUGAACUAUGAAUUAGUAGUAGUAGGUGUUCAUCAGCUUAAAUCUUACAGCUUUUAUGAGUAUCAGUUUGAAGAUCAAGCCACUCAUAGACUUCCAAAUAAUUACGUACGGAUCAUCGCGGUGUUUUUUGGGUCUUAAAAGGCGGAUUCAUUAUUGAGGACGGGAACAGAAAACGGGGUGAUUUCCAGUUUCUCUGCGCUAUAUGAAUCACUUUUACUGGUAUUACUCUCGAUUUUGUUAACAUCUUAGACGCUAAGAAAAUUAUAAUAUCUGUGAUGCAACUAUUGUUAUUUUCUAAGAAAACACCAUUUGGGCGCAGUUGGCAAAUUUCAAGUUUUAACCAUAACUGGAGGGAUGAAAUAUUUGAAUGCUAAAAAUGAGGGUCUAAAAUGAAUCAGAAUGGUCCAAGAUAUCUAGGAACUAAAAUGAAUUAAAAUUGCCAGUUAGAAUUCCACAUCCAUGUGAUGGAUUGGACGAUCCAUUUGUGUUUUUGCAGGGAUGUGGCUGACGACCAAGUUCUCUACGUAACGGGGCCCAUUUCAGGAGGUCAGGAUGAAUUACGGCAGACCUAUUUCAGUAGCUUCUUCCCCAAUAAUCCAAGAAGCCUGCCUAAGGGAAUCUUUAAAUGGGCCGUGCCUCGUGAACGAUCAAAGCAGCACCAUUGCAGAAGUAAAGUCGGCCUUUUAAGUUUUGCCAAACUCGGGGUCCUUAGGACUAGAGAGAAGCCCAAAGGUAUAAGAAGCCGAAUGGCACCAAACAACACAAUGUAUUUAUUACUUGCCUCCCUAUAUCUCCUUCGAAAAAAUUUUUUUUUUUUGCAUGCCAAGAUCUUGUUAAUUCAUGAUAAAAACUUAACUCUAUCUAAGGGGAAAAAAAAGGGGGGGAAGAGCAAACGUCGUAAACAGUCACCAAGCUAUUUUUAAUUGUAUAUUUUAGUCACCAAACUUUUUAUUUACCCAAAAUGGUCACUAAACUAAUGAGUAAAUAAGUACAUUUUGGAUUACUAAACUAACAAAAGUGCAUUUUUUCGUCACUCAUGUAAAGAAAAUGCGUGCUUAUCGGUCGCAAAAUGCAUGCUUUAAAUAGUUAAAUAAACUACUUUGGCUAAAUAAAAAAAAGUUUAAUGACCAAAAUAAAGAAGGUUCAAUAAUCACUUUUAUCAUUUGGUCUUGAGAACCAAACUUGAAACUACCAACUCCUAGUCCUAACCUUUUUUCAUAGGCCUUACCAGCAAUAAAAAAAAAUUUUUUUUGCCCUUUUUUGCGUAAGUCGCAGUAAGUUACUCAAAGUGUAUUGCUUUGUUUUGAAUGCGUGAUUACUGAUUAAUUAGGCCAAAUAUCAAAAACUAAACACACUCAUUCAGGUUAAAGAUAGAAACCGGAAUUCAUGCACAACGGAUCUUGUGUCCCACACUCUGUGCCACUCUCUGUCCCAUUUUUUAUUUUAUUGUUAUUUCUUCUAUAUAAACAUCAUGUUUUAGUUCUCAUGUGAUGUAGUAGUUGAUCAACGAUGAAUGAUCAAUCUCAAGUCUCAACACCCCAAAAAAAUAAAUAAAAAAUCUGUGAGUGCAGGCAAGUGGUCACCCACCCACCAUAAUGCCAUAUUCAUAUUUUGGAUUCGACUUGGGCAAAUAAUUGUGCAACAAAAGCCCGGGCAAAUAGGCAAGUAACAGUCGAGAGGACGAUAUUUUUUCAGAGUUUUUGGCAUCAUCUGAUUCUUGAACAGCGACAGGAGCCUCCAAGCUCUUGUGGUACCGUCAAAAUACUACUGCUCCGAAAGCACUGCAUCUACCCAAAGAUAAACGAGAGACAAAGUUACAACAGUCAUGGGUCAUUAUCUCAGGCGACAGAGAGAAGAGAAUUAAAACACAAGUUAUCUAAUGGAUACGAACAAAUGAUGACACAAAGCGAAUUUUAAUACUUCAUCCUCCUCGUUAAUUGGUACAGGACAGGAGCCAGCAAUACUACUAUUAUUAUUAUUGUCAUCUACCCGUAGGCUUUGAAGCCUUCAGUGCAUCGUACGUACUCAAGCUCAGUAUAUACUGUGCUAGUACCAUUUCUGCACUAGAGGGGAAAGCGAUCUCGAUGUACUACUAUCCAUCAUCCGUGCUCCUUGCACUAAACGCCGAGGGAUGCUAAUGCUAGAAAACUUGACUGGUGGUGAAAAUCAGACUGCUGUUGUUUGCUUUUUCUUCUUCAAGAAAAUAAAUGAUAAUGGGUGAUUUUUGCAAGCACUAAAAAUGACAAAGAAUAUCUUUUUGCAAACUGUUAUGCUACUACUACAUCUAUGGCGUAUAGAUAGAACAGUUGGAAAGAAAAAAGAGAGUAGUGUUAGGUGCAAAAUUCUUGACUUUUCAGCACUUCACCAAUUAAUCAUACAAUUAUAUAUUACGGAGUGCACAGGAGAAUUCGAAUUUCGAAAUCUGGUAGUGGGUAAUCUGCUUCCUUCCCCCCCCCGGUUUUCCCCAUAAAAUUCCCUUGCACUAUUUAAGUCUCUGUUCAUAUAUAUAACAACUCGAGAACGAAGCGAUGAAAUUGCAGAAUUUUGCCAAAGUGAAGUGAAUGGAACAAGUUGACGACUGAAGAAGAUUACCACCGAUCGAUGAAAAGAGAGACGAAGAGGAGAGAAUAUGGUUGACUGAAGCAGGGAUUUUGCAAAGAAGGAAAGCUUGGAUUCCUAAGAGAUUUGCAUAUGUGCGUAAGCGGUCACGAGAUUGUCAGAGAUGCCUGCUGUGCUGUGCUGAGGAAGGAGAUGGACUCUGGGUCUGGUCUGCUUCUGGUUGGUUGUGGAGGGACUUUGGACGCGCUCUAAUGAAUAGUAACGCCUUCCAUUCCAAGCCUCAGGUCUCAGGCAUCAAUUCUAUUCUAUUCUAUCUUACGUACGUUGUUGCAUUGCAUCUCUCUCUCUUUCUUUCUUCAAUUCCUUCUUUAAGGACACGUCGCUCCACAAAGUAAUCUUUUUUCUUCACCUUUUGCUUUUCUCUUUUUCCAUUUUUACAUCUUUUCAGAAAAGAGCCCCAAGUUGGACGAAUCAAAAUUCGAGGCCCCUUCCUCCCUCCGCCCUUUUUUUUUAGUAUAUACAUAUAUAUAUGUAUAUCUUUGUUAGUUACUACUUUUGUAUACACUAUUGGCUAUGUACAUUACUUGUAUGCUUUUUAUACUAAAACUUUAUAGUCAUUCGAAUAUCUUAUUUUAAGUGACUAGAUUUUAAAGUUAAGGAUUGGUCUUGUCUUUUGGGUUUGCGUGUCUACAUACAUACAUACAUACGCAAUCCUCAGCCGCACCUUCUUGUCUGCUAUGCUUCUUCUACGUAGUUUUCUGGGGGAUCCUGUGUGGAUAUUUUCCAUUUCUAGUAAUUGGUCAAUGUUCUACUAAUAACUAAUUAAUAAUGCUUGUCCAUUACAACAAUAUAUUCUUAAGCAUAGGCUACAACAAACUCUACCAUCUUUACUUUAUUUCCCAAGCUUGAUUAGUAUGGUGAAAAGCAAGGGAAGAGCUAGCUCAGCUUCGUUAAUUUGGACUACAUUAGCCUGUAAUGAAACAACGGACAAAUUAAUCUUAGGUUCCACUUUAAUUUUUUGCUUGAAAAUAUUUGUUACCUAAUACCCAUGAAAAGAUUAUUGUCUUGUCUACGACACUUACAAGUUUUAGUUUAGAAUCAUAGAUCAAUGUAUAUGCAGAGGGGAUCGGCUUGUGUAACAUGAUACGAGCAUUGAACAAACAAAUUUUAUGAUACAUGAAAGAGUUCAAGGCUCCAAGCUCACAUUUUUUCAACCUCGGAAUUUCGUCUAGUACAAGAUUUUCUCAGCCAGGGCAAAAAAAAAAAAAAAAAAAAACAGUAAAAGAAUGGCAGCAGUUAACCAAGAAUUAGAGAUUUCCCUCUUGUCUUUGUAACCAAGAAUUUUGAUUAUAAAUCAACUGACUUCCUUCCAAAUUUCCCUUUCAUUUUCCACGUUCGUAUGCACGAUUUAGAGAUGUUACUGUUGGACAACUUUCACAAAAAAGGAAGCACACCAGCUUUUUAGCUGUAAAUUCUCAAAUUAUAGUCCCUUAGCUUUUGACACCCCGUUUUCAAGUUCCCUUAAUCUCUCCUUCCUUCACAUCAUCACAUGUGCCUUCUUAACCCCAUCUCUAAAGUAGCAGUAGUAACUUCUCAGAAGCCUAGGCCCCCCUUUUCUCCCCCACCAUCUUCUUUAGAGCGUUUUUCCUUACCUUUUUCUCUUUGAAAAUUAUCAUCCCAGAUAAUGAGCUGCGAAGAUGGUGCUAUUUUCAGUUACAACUUCAGGCCUAAGGUUUCUCCAGACUUAAUUCUUUUGAAGGCUUGACAAGCUAAGCCACAUUUUCAAGAAAAUGGGCAGAGCAACAAGGUGGUUGAAGAGUUUGUUUGGGAUAAAGAGGGAUAAGGGCCAGAAGGAGAUUAAUCCAAAUUCCGGUAGCCAGAGAGAAAACAAAUGGACGGGAAUGGGCCAUUCGGGAAGAGACACUGCUGAUGGGCUGUGUUCAAAUCCAAACACCAUUCCACCCAAUAUUACCCCGGCUGAAGCUGCAUGGUUGAGAUCUUUUUACGCUGACUCUGGUGACAAGGAGCAAAGCAAGCAUGCCAUAGCAGUUGCUGCAGCCACCGCCGCUGCCGCUGACGCCGCCGUCGCCGCUGCACAGGCUGCGGUGGCCGUGGUUAGGCUCACCAGUCAGGGCAGAGGAGGGUCCAUGUUUGGUGGUGGUGGUGGUAGUCGUGAAAAGUGGGCCGUUACAAAAAUUCAAAGUGUUUUCCGCGGAUUCUUGGUAAUUAAUUACUACUACUACUACUUUUGCUUCGAAGGUGUAUAACGUAUAUUUGACUGACAGACACGGUUUCUCAGUAUCGUAGUCACAUCCGUUUCCUUGUCUUCUUUCUUUUUUUUUUUUGGCUGUCCCUUUUACCAUUAUAUGCAUUAAUUUUGGUUCGUUCUUACUAGAAAAAUGGAAAUUGCUAAACGGGUAUGGUGUGAAUUAAUCAGGCAAGGAAGGCACUGAGGGCUUUGAAAGGACUUGUGAAACUACAAGCACUAGUGAGAGGUUAUUUGGUGCGUAAACAGGCGUUCGCUACAUUUCACAGCAUGCAAGCUCUUAUAAGAGCACAGGCCAAUGUUCGUGCCCAAAAAACUCGAGGCCUCCUCGAUUCUACUGCUGCAAGUUCAAACCGGCAGUUUCAUGCUGCAAAUUCGGCGGUAAGAACUUGUCUCUGUGCAUCUAUUUUUGCAAGGAAUUACAUCUUAAUUUAAUUUGUGUCCAUCUUGGUUAAUUAGCAGGAAAAGUUUGAUGAGGGUAGAAGUAGGCAGAAUUCAUUUCAUAACAGAAGGCUCUCUGCAUCGUUUGAUAGCAUUAACUCAAAUGCAAUCGAUGAAAUCCCAAAGAUUGUGGAGAUAGAUACUGGAAGGCCUAAAUCAAGAUCCAGAAGAAGCAGCGCCUGGGUAUCAGAUUCCAUUUCCGGGGAUGCCCAGACUCUAUCCUCUUCGUGUCAAUGCCGACAUCCUCCGCCCCACCUAUCGAUCCCUGAUUGCAGAAACUCUCAAGACUCCGACUGGGGACUGACUGGGGACGAAUGCCGCUUCUCCACCCCUCAAAGCACUCCCAGAUUCUCCAAUUCUUGUGGGACAAAUCCACCUGUCACGCCAGCCAAGAGUGUUUGCGUGGAAAGCUUAUUCAGGAAUUGCCCAAAUUAUAUGGCUAAUACGCAGUCAUUUAAGGCCAAACUGAGGUCUUACAGCGCACCGAAGCAAAGGCCUGAACCGGGGUCCAAGAGGAGGCUAUCGCUCAAUGAAAUGAUGGAGUCCAGAAGUAGUCUAAGUGGGGUCCGAAUGCAGAGGUCAUGCUCUCAAGUCCAAGAAGUUUUGAGUUUCAGGAAUGCUGUUGUCGGUAGGCUUGCAAGGUCUUCAGAAUUCUCAAAAGAGCAAUUAUACAACAGGGAUUCUUACUCGGAAGAAUAUUUUGAGUAGCGAUCGAAAGAAUGUGCUGCAACUAUCAAUUCGCAAGCGCAAACAGAGCAUGUAAUUGUCUAGAAUCUAGAUCAUCCUAGAGACAUAGGGCAAGAUGUAAUCUUUACUCCCGUUUUCAUUGAAGAAGUGAUCAAGGUCGGUUAUACCAGUACUGACGAGGUUAAUAAUAAUUGUGUGUCUAAUUUUUCGUGUUGCUUAGGUGUGCCGUUAUUACAACAUUAACUCGACCUCUGCACAAAAAUGUACCGUACAUCCAGUACCACAAAUGCUGAGAGCCAACAAUUCCUUUCCUGGAAUCAUUUGAAAUGACAGGGCUUAGCUAGUUUGGACGGCAAUGCUAUGAUUCAUUAUUGCCUCCGUCCCCCUCUCUGUGUGGUUGCAUUCUAAGUAUUCAAAUUUUUUUUUUCUUUCACCUUUAGGGGCAGUACCGUCAUAAUUUGUUACGAGUGCUACAAUGUCAAUAGGAUGAUGACUUCUGUUGUCAUGUGCGGGUGUGAGGUUGAUGUGCUGCUGUAUCUAAUUUGAAAUGGAAGAGCUAUCUGGUUUUCUAAUCUGAAGAAAUAAUGGGAAUCUCAUAUGUGACCCACUUCUCCAUUAUGUAAACAAAAGAUCACCAUAACUUGGGCUAGUAGCAUCUGUAGUCUGGGACCUCUCUGAUUCAUUCCAUUGGCACAUUACUUGGGCACUCUCAACAAGCUUUGCAGCCUUUUCUUGUUUCUUGUUUUGGCAGAUAGAAAACAACUUGGCAGCCGAAGCUUUUAGGGUCGCUGGCUCAUUUCUGCUGCAGCAACAACAACAAACAGCUACUACGACUGGGUUUCUUGUUUCAUCAGCAGGAUGGUGGGUGGUUAAGCAGCAACAUUAUUGCUUCCUAUGGCUCCUCCCUAACACCAACAGCAAUAGGCCUUUUAUUGGGCGCAAGAUAGUACAAUUUUCCAUUCCGCCUACGUGCCGAAUUGUCAAUUGUUGUUUUCUUUUGAGUUUUAGUUUUGACAAUGGGCGUCGCAGAAGGCUUGAUUCCAGCCUUCCAUUUUUUGCGUCUUUAUCUUCUUCUUGUCUUGUUGGAUUAUAAUAUCUAGACUAUAGAUGCCAGGUAGACUGGUAGGCUUGGUCAAGGACUCGAGAUUCAGGAAGAAGGGGAAAAAGAGUAGGAAAAACUUUGUGCAACUUUAAGGUGUCGUAAUUGUAUAGCUAAAUUACACCCCCUUCAUCUAACGUGAAGGUUUGGAUUCAUGAUAAAGGAGUAUGAAUUUAGCCCUCACUUAAAAAGUAUAAUGUGUGUUUCUACAUUUAAAUUAAUUUAUAUGGUGAUUCGAUCAUAUUCUCAAGUCACGUUCAUCAUCGUUGGACGGGGAAAUAAGUGUUUCUUAGAUUAUUAUUGAAAGAAAUAAUUUCCUAAAAAGACCACAGAAUUUUGUUUAUCUUAUAUUCCCAUUAUAUAUCAGUAGCACGUGCUCUGCUGGUGAGUUAAAUUAUGGGGUGUUACUAUAACGUAAUGUUGUUACAGAAGUUGGUGGAAAGAUAGCUAGCAAGAAAUAUGCUAUAAGGAGAAAUCUUGUUUUUAUAUAAUCUUGUUUCACACUCAUGUGAUGUGAAACUUUGGGCCAAUUUGAGUGCAUAUUGGACACAUUUAUUUGUCGCCUCCGCCCAUGGACCCAAUUUAAGACUGAUGAGUGAAUGAGGGCAGGAUGUUUUCCACGCCAAACCUUUGACAUCUUGAACUCACGAUUUUUCUCUUGGAUAAAUAGAGCCCAACCCAAAGAUCUGAGCAACAAUGAAUGCAAUAUAUAGAUUUCGGAUUGGGACCUAAAAUGAGUUGUGUCCCUUCCAGCCGAAGAUUGUGCUGUUGUUGAAAUUGUGACUUUCUAGACUGUAAUUGUUCAGUGCGUGCGUUAGCAAAGAGCAACAGAUGUAAAUACCAAAAUAGUAAACUAGACACUAAAAGUAAUAGAGUAAAUCUUAUAUACACACUAUCACUGACUGACAGUAUACACACUAUCACCGUUGGAUUCAUGACACAUGUGUAAAAAUUGAAUUUCAAAUUCAAAUUUUGCAUAGUUAUCAUUCAUUCAACGCUGACAGUGUAUACAAUGUCAGUGUAGGAAAUAUUAAUUCAAAGUAAUAAUAUGAAAAAUAUAGCAAAUUAAGUUUUAUAGACGAGAUUGAUUGGGGUACACCACGAAAAAUUUAACGAGCAAUGUUUAAAAUUUUUGUGCCACAAUCAAUCUCAUCUAUCCAAAUUCAAUUUUCUACAAAUGCAGGCUAUAAACUUCAUCAUUCAAUUGCUCCGCUAUUUGCAUAAUAAUUGCAGUCCAGAACGUGAACUGCAACAUAACAAAGAUAACGUUUAAUUUCGCGAAAUGUUAUUUGACCUUCCAUUUUUGUUAAUCACAUUUCUACUAUCAUUUUAAUUAUAUAAUUUUUUAUUUAGUAGACUAUAUGAUAAAAUAAACGAUGAAAGUGCAAAUAACAAAAAAAUAGAGUGCAGACAACAUUUCCCUUUAAUUUCAGAUAAAUUUUCCUUUUUCCUGUGUGGGCCGGGUGGAUGCGCAAUUUUCAAGCAGGAUGGACAACAAGUGGGUUUGGUGCUUUGGAUUGUGGGCUUAGAAUAGAGGGAACGCUCGAGAGAGAUUGGACCGUCUUACUACUGCUUAAGCCUAGCUGUCCUCUUAAUCUUGGGUACACACAAUUAUAGGAUUUGCCAGAUAAUUAUCCCCUAAAAUAAUGGGAUUCAUUCAACCAUCUGAAUUAGAAUCAAAUUGUAAAUCUCAAUCUGAACUAUUGUUAAUCGUGUCUUGAUCACAAGAUUUCGAAAUGAUGCUUACCUUCCUUAAAACACCCUGAUUCUUUUUAUAUUGUGCCAAAAUUCUUUCUUAGACGCCGGGGCCCAAAAAUUUGCGAAAACUGAAGAAGCAUCUGCGGUGCAAGAAUGUCGAAUUCAUUUACUCAGUACUUAUUACUGAUUUACAAUGUCGGCCCAAAAAGGGAACAAAAAAAGAAAAGCAGAAAAAAAAGAAGCUCGUGUAUGUUUGUUAUCUUGAUCAUAUUUUGAUCCAUUCAGAACCAUCGAUGAAGGCAAGCGAAAUAAAAGGCUUUGCUUCCUCAUCUGUAAGUUCUCUGGACCAUGAAACUCUUCCUGCAAAACUUGCCCCUGCUCCGCUGCACUUGUAUUGUCCAUAAAACACCGUCCUGUGCAGAUAUAAGAAAGAGAAAAACAGCGUGAAAUUUUAAUGGCCUCAAAAUAGCUAUAUGACCCCCGCAGGUAGUCCGACGGGUUUUGUAGUCUGGUAGUUAUUAGCACGUUCUGUGAUUGACCCUUGUAUGCUAUCUCAUUGUGUAUUAUUGGAGUAAGAUUUUAUACAGGCUUAAGAGAUUAGUCUGGUUGAAAGGUUGGAAUACCUCCAAAUGAAAAAAAAAAUGGGCUCAUGGGCCGACUAUCAUAUGAUUUUGUUAAUUGGGCAAGCUACUAUAAUUAAAAUGGGUGAGCUAUUACAAUCUUUUUUUGUGGUAAAUAAAUGUACCGAGUUAAAUGUACACUAUCCCCAAAUUAACCAUUUGUACAGAUUUCUUAAUGACUGAUAUCCAGUAUAGUGCAAUACUUGUGGUUGUACACGUGCAUUAGAGACUUGUACAUUGUAAUCAGGUGCAAUAAACAGUAGCCACAAACUAAAAUUGUGUUCACAUCCAGGGCAUUCAAUAAUUUGGACUCUUCUACUUCUAGGACGUAUCCAAGUCUUCAAGUACAUGGCGCUUUCUGAAAGUUGAAUAUUCCUCCAUAUAGGAGCCUUGUGAAAGUUAGGUAAAGUUUGUUUAGGACACUUUAAUGGUUGAUUAUAAGUGGAUUAUAGUAGACAAGAAGAAUAGACACAAACUAAAUAAGGAGUGAGAGUAAGUCAAGGUUAUUGUCCUUGCUAGCUAGCUCUAUAUAUAUAGUGGCAAACAAACAACUGUCGCUGUGGAGAUGCUUGUAAAGUGGUUGUGAGUUGUGACUGAAUACUUUAAACAAAGUUGAUAAUCAUGGUGGAAGAACAGUGUGAUGCAUGCUGGUGCUAUAAUAAGGAAAAGAUAAGUUUGGAUAUACAUAUAUAGUUCGAAAUUGGGGUGGCACCGUCCCAAUACCACCAUCAAAUGCAAUGCUUUUGAUGUGAUACAAACUGACCUAUAAUUGGGCACCAAAUAGAUAGGCUAUAAUUGAGCACCAUAUAGAUACGGAUGGCCAUAUGUUAUGUAUAGUGGAGGAAGAUGAUAAAGAUUUUGUAAUUUUGCAGGGAGGUGAUGAUGAGGAAGAGCACUACUUACAUUUCUCGACUAGGGUCACCCCAGUUAUGCCAGCCUUUUGGAAUGAUAAUGUUGUCCAUAUAUGUGUAAGCGAAGAUUACCCUGGAAAAGGGUCCCCAUGCCCGUCCUAGGUACAGGGCUCCUGAACCCGUGACCUUACAGUUUACAAAGGAGAACCCUGUGUCCUCCAACAGGCUGCUUCUCCCUUGUGCUGUGACUGCCCCCGUUAACUGUGCUAUUGCAUGCACGUGACAACCCUGCGUUUACAUUUUAACCAUUAUGUAUUCUGCCAUCAUCAUUUCAUGAUUUGAGCAUAACUAGGUGCAUGCAGAUGCAGUACAUAAUUGGUUAUGUAAUGUACAUUCUUAAUAGUGUUUCUGUUUCACUAACAUACAAUAGUACCCAGAGGAUUCUUGAUUAGGAUCAAUGUACUUUCUCUAAAUGCAUAUAUAAUGGUAGAAAUUAGUGUUUCUAUUCUAAGUUUAAGUUCUAGAGUAAUAUAUAUAGUUCUCUGGAUCGAAGCAUAAAUUGAUAUAUACAGAAUGCUCCCUCCUAAUUAAUUUGGUUGCCAAUAUAAAAGCCAUAUGUUUCUUGCAACAAUUCUCUUGAACUAUCAGCUAUAACAGGCGAGCUCUAUGUUUAGUGCAGUAGGAUCAUUAGCUGGCAAAUUGAAAAAGGAAAACCAAACUGUAAAUAGAACGGAAACCGAACAAACUCUCCUGAUGUAAGUGAAGCAUGUCCACUUUCAUGUAACACAGUGUUGCUUUUAGAAAAGACACGACUUGUAUCUACCUCCACAUUUCACGUCAUCCCACAAUGAAUUCAAGAACAUACAAUUUUCAUAAAAGGACAUGCGAUCCAAAUUUCAUCAAGUUUUAGUACUUUUUUCUUUUUUAAGUUUUAGUACUUUGUUUGUCCAAUGUAUGUUUUUAGUCCACACAAAAGUGUUCAAUUGAACGAAUUCAAUUUCAACAGGUGAGACCAAAACCAUAUGAACAUGCUAACGUGGCUUUAUUAAGAACGAGGAACAUGAAACAAGAUGCAAGCACUGUAAAGUUUUAACUAACCACUGAUAUGCAAAGACAAUAAUAUUAUUGUUUGUCGAUUUCUCAAGGGAUCAGUGGAGAUAGUUACCUCAAACAAAGAGAGCCCGUUACCAAAGAUGAAAUCCACAGAGCCUUCGAUGUAACAAUCUUUGUAAUAAUGCCUGCCUACGUGGUCAUACAGCGUAUCCUGUGCACCCAAGAAUCUGCAACCCACAAAAACUGCUGUAUCUGCCGAUAUCCUAAAUGCAACAGCUUGCUUUCCAAUGGCUCCUGGGGGUGGUACUGGAGUUGUAUUCUGCAUGCAUUUUUUUUUUUUUUGGCAAAUAUUACGUGAUCAUGAGAUUAAAAUGUUAAUUAUGACUAGCCAAUAACAAAAGAAGGGGAAAAUGAUAUUACCUUGAAUGUGAUGUUCUUGGCUAUGAAAUAUGGAGAAUUCACAGCAAAUGUUGCAGAAGCAAAUGUGCCAAGAGGCUGGCCUUUUGCUCCGGGUGUUUGUGCUGUAUCUCCCCAUUGAACUAUAGUUUUAUCUGCUCCCGCUCCCUGUAUGGUUAUGUAUGACUUCAGCUGAGGUAUUGUAACCUUUUCCCUGGAAAACUCGCAUUUUUGGGGGGGUCAAAAAGAAAUGAUCAUUUGAUGGAGAGAGAGCAACAUGAAAAUAAUACCAACUGUGAAAAAUGAGGAAGGAUGAAAGAAAAGACGCAUUUCAAAAACCACAUGCAAAGUAGGUACCUGUAGUCAGGAAACCAGUUUGUAGCAUAUUGAUCAGAAGCUAAAGGACAACGUGCAACAAACCGACAUAUUUCUUUUUCAAUGGUGGCGAAAUAUAACAAAAACUUGAGCAUGACUACCUCUUAAAUGUACCAUAUUAUAUAGUAAUGCACUAUUUUCUCUCUUUCUCUCUUCUUGGUGGUAAAAUUAUGCAUUUACCAAGCCUUGACAGAAAAUACCACAAAGAACAGAGAAAUGUAUUGAGUAUAUCCUAAAACACUUACGUGUAAACACCCGCAUGAACCUUGAUCAACACUCUAACUAGAUUAACAGUAGGGAGAGAAUCAAUAGCCUGCUGAAUUGUAGUAAAGUCACCGUAGUUUGGAUUUUUGUCGACCGUAAGAGUGUAAGAAGGGAAGAGCUUAUUCUUGGCGGUCUUGAACACAGAGUGAUUGAGGCUGCCAACAAAGUUUACCCACUUCAUGAAUUGUUGUUCAGAGUAUUGGACUUGGGUCAUAUUCACUGCAAAUAGCUUCCCUGAAGCUGUUCUUUUUGGCCUAAUGCCUUUGGUGUGGCAUACUACUGUAUUGCUUCCAUAGCUCAGAAGAAUGAAAAUGAUAGAAUGUACAAGAAGUUUAGAAGUGGGCAUAUCGAUUGAUCUCUACAGAAUGAGAAUGAGAUCGAGAAGAGGAGAAAAGAAAAAGAAGGAAAAAAGCCGUACUAAGGAAUGUUGUUUUGGGGUUAGGAAGUGCAUUAAGCUGGCUCGUAAAUUGGUUGUGUAUAUAUAUAUAUAUAUAUCAGUACUACUUGGGAAUUAGUGCUUAGUAGUAACUGCUGCUGCCUUUUCAUUUUAGGUGGAAAAAGCGAUGCUAUAUUUAGAUGAUCUUGACAUGGAGUGAGAGGUCACGGGUGCCUCUAAUUGAAUCAUUGUGGAAUGUUGGGGAAGAACUAAGAAGGGGGAAUGGUUGGGUUGGGGAGGGGGAUCACAGGAAAACGAUCUCAGACCACAAAGCGAGUCCUAGGGAGGCAUGCACUUUUCGGCCUAACAAAAACGUUUCUUUCCGAGUUUUUAAAGCUCAUUCAGAGUUGGUGGUGCCCGUGACUAUCUCUAUGUUUCCGUAUGAAGCUGAACAUAUUCUGCUUUCAGAAAUGACGUGUUUUUUGUGCAGCAGGGGAAGUGUUUUUUGUACUCUGUUUUGUUUUGUUUUUUUUUUUUUUUGUUAUUUGCACUCUUACCAUUUGUUUUAUCAUAUAAUCUAAUAUAUAAAAAAUUAUAUUAUUAAAAUGAUAACGAGAGUGUGAUAAGCAAAAAAAAAAAUAGAAGUGUAAAUAAUAUUUUUUGCGCAGUAAUUUCUAAUUAGUUCUAUUCAACAUAUAGUACAGGGAAGGGUGCUUGCUACUGUAGUUGCCAAACACUCGAGGAAAUGUGUUAUGUGGGUUUCUAUCUUUUGGUUUAUAUGCGUCACAUAUAUUUGCUAACAAGUUCAAAAGCCAAUAUCGUUGUAGAAGUUUGUCAGAGAGAAGAAGACUAGAAAGAAAGAAAGAAAGCUAUUAGAACAAAAAUUUUCUUUUACAGGAGGGAUUUUAGAUUCUUGUAACAUAUACAAAAAUCAAAUUUUAUAUUUGAAUAGAAAUCAUGCGUCAUGUAUCAACAAAUGCUACUUUUGGAAAUUUUUUUAGAUGGCGCAGAAAAAAUUAAGGGAAAAUGGCUAAAUUCGUCCCUAAAUUUUUUAUUAAUGUCAAUUUAAUCCCUAACUUUUGUUUUCAGCCAAUUUGAUCCCUAAACUUAUAUUAUGAUUUCAAUUAAGGAUCUCUACGGCAGAAUCACCACGGAAAAUAGAUUAAACUCCACAUUGACCAAUUAAACAUGGGUAUUUUAGGAAUUUUUAGAUAUCCCCUUCCUCUAUUAUCAAUUCCUACGGCCUACCAGCCACCUCCCCCUUCUACUCCUACCUUUCUUCUCCAACCUCUCCAUUCCCUCCAUCUAUCAUGUCCAUCAUCUUUGUUGCAGCCCAAAACACAAUCCUUCUUACAUUGAAGAAGAGGCUUCCUUUGUCAAAAGAGAUAGCAGUAAAAGCUUCUCUCUUUCUUGCUUCUACACAACUAUAGCCAUGCCAAGUUCAAAGCAGGAAUCAAGGUUUAUCCCAAGCAGCCAUCAAAAUGACUUUUGUUGUGGUGGAUGAUGAGUGUUAGGCGAAGCCAUGAAAUCCUUGUUAGUUUCUUGGGAAAUUUUGGCCUUGCUGAACUUGUACACUGCAAAAAUAAUAUGGAUACAUUGAAAUAAAGUUUUUCGUAGCUUUGGGUAUAAGCGAUACAUCAAAUCUUGCCUCCAGUUUUUACAUAUAUCAUGUUGUCUUGUAAUUUGAUUUUUGAAUUUUGCCGGAAUGUUCUUGCUAUCUAUGAACAUGCCCUUUUUCUUCCAUGGACGGAGGAUAAAAAUGAAUUUAAAAAAAAAAGAGAAUUUACUCUUCACUCUCCAUCCAAUCCACCAUUUUUGGUACUGCUCCUAUAUUUGAUUUUGUUAAUAUAAUGCUUACAAAACUCAAAUUACUACUACUACUUGUCUGUAGAGAAUCACUGGAUUAGAUCCACCUUAAUCAACAAAAUCAUUACUAAUGAUUACCAAAAAAACAACAUACUUCAUCAUGUCUUGAUCUUCACUAGAACAGAUCCGAUACUUACCCAACAUCUAGAUUUGGGGCAUCAUAUGGUUUCGGCUUCACCCAAUUCAAGGGAGUCUCUUUGCUUAGUUUUUGGAAUAUCUUGGCCCUCAAAUCCCUCCCAAACUCUACCUUCUCUCCAUCAUUGGCUCCUCUUCGCACCCUUCUCCGUCCCAGAAGUCAAAGUAUCGCAUCUUGUUCCUGAUCGAUUCUUAGUUGCAAAAUUUAUAGAGAUGACUGACAUAACAGAGAGAGGAGCAAAAGAUGUGGGAGAAGAAGGGUGAGAGAAGGAGGAGGUAGGUGGCAGGUGGUGGAAAUUGAUGGUGCAAGGAGGACAUAUCAAAAGUUCCUAAAAUACCCCUGUUUAGUUGAUAAAUUAGGAGUUUGAUUUAUUUUUUGUGGUGGUGUGGCCGUAGAGAUCCUUAAUUGAAAUCAUAAUAUAAGUUUAGGGAUCAAAUUGGCCGAAAACAAAAGUCAGGGAUUAAAUCGACAUUAACAAAAAGUUUAGGAAUGAAUUUGGCCAUUUUCCCAAAAAUUAAUCCUAGAAAUCUUUUUUCUUCUUCUAACCUCUUAUUUGACACCCAAUUGUUGUUCUAUUGGGCCAGGUUGAUGUCACAUUGUGCAAAUUCAUAUCUCACCUUGUAGGCCCAUCGACCCAACUCUAAUACCAUUGUGGCAGCAAUAGCAUAGUGUAGAAAUACCCAAUUCACUCUCUCUCUCUCUCCCUCCCUCUCUCUCUUCUGGGUUUUUGAGUUUAGAGCCCAGAGGAAGGAAACCUUACAUGUACACCUAAUAGUGUGACAAGCACAUAUAUUGUUUUACAAAUGAUUAUACACUCGUGCGUAUAAAUACACAUAGGAUGUGUAUAAAGAUGCAUAAGUUAAGUAUUAUUUUCAGGAGUCACGGUCCUCGUCACCACCUUCUAUUACCAUUUGAUAAGAAUACACUUCUCAAUUCAAUGCAACGUUGCUUUUUUCGCUCACCCCAAAAAUCAUAUUUCUUUGCACGGAAAAGACAUUUAUGGAGUAUUUUAUACACAUAACCCAAGAUGCUAUUCUUUCUUGACUCGUACCAUGCCAAACAUGCCAAUUAGGAUAAACAAGUAGAGGCUGCAAAUCUAGGUAAUCAUUGUACGAUUAUGGGCAAAAGUUAAAAACUUGGAUAAAUUAGAUCUUGUAAACUUAGUGAUUCAAAUUUUAUCAAAUAUUUGAAUAUUUGAGCCGGAGAGAUCGUACAGCAAAUUUUAAACUACUAAAUUUACAUAGACCGGAUCUAUUCAAGUGUUUGUUCGGGCCAAAUGCGACCAAUAACAUGAAUUUAGCUUCAUUGUCUAUUUCUACAUCAGUUGGCAACAAUCAAAGCUCUAAAAGCGAAAUAAAUAUAUCAGGUUUUGGUUCGAUGGGAACGGAAUCAACAUCAAUUAUUGAAAAGUUUACAAAAAAACCGCAUCUUACCCUUUGUCCUUCCUCUUCCUUGGAAAUAACAUCCAUCACCCCACCCUCCCAUCCGCCUUGCCCCACUUGGAAAUAACCUUAAAAGGACCGAAAAUAGUAGUAGUCUCAGAAUAUUUCUUGCAGACUAAACCCUGAUUUCCAUCUUAGGGAGAGCUCCCAAGAAGCAUCUACUAUUUCGUAAAAUUUGUUCCGACCUCUAAAACUGUAAUGAAUACGAACGUGAUCUCAAGCUUCAUAGCCAUAGCAACUUCCAUCUCCUUCCUCCUCCUCUCACCCCCAUCAAAGUCCUUUUAUCAUUCCUUGUUCUUAUCUGAUUCCCUUUCAUGCAAUCAAUCAAUAGCAAACCACCUCUACAUCCUAACCAAGCGGCCUCAUGUUGCUGGGUCCGAAGCCAAUGCCGAAGCAGCGGCUUAUGUUCUAUCCACCCUCACUUCCUAUAAGGUUCGAUCACAUAUAACAACCUAUGAAGUUGCCUUAACUUAUCCCAUCUCACGUUCCUUGACCCUAAAACCUACUCCUCAAGACAGCCCCGUCAAGUUCGAUCUCCACCAAGAGAUUUACGACGGUGAUCCUUAUGCCGACGUGGCAGACGAAGUCCUACCGACGUUCCACGCAUAUGCCAAGUCUGGCACUGUAGCUGGACCCGUAGUAUAUGCCAAUUACGGGCGCGUACAGGACUAUGCUGUAUUGAAGCAAAUGAAAGUAAAUGUGUCAGGGAAUGUUGUAUUGGCAAAGUAUGGAAAGAUAUACAGGGGGGACAUUGUGGAAAAUGCUUAUGCAGAAGGUGCUAUAGGUGUAUUAAUUUACACAGAUAGGAAGGAUUACGGUGGAGUAGGUGAUGCAAAAUGGUUUCCUGAUGACAAGUGGAUGCCUUCAAGUGGAGUCCAGGUGGGAUCCGUGUACAAUGGGGCCGGUGAUCCCACUACACCUGGCUGGCCUAGUUCAGGGUUGUGCGAGAGACUAUCAGAUGAUGAUGCGGAGAAAGGAGGAGAAGUUCCAUUGAUACCUUCAUUACCUAUUUCAUGGGCUGAUGGUGACAGAAUCCUGAGGUCCAUAGAUGGACAAGUGGCAAAUGACGAUUGGCAGGGAGGGAAAGAUGCUCCUGUCUACAAGGUUGGGCCAGGACCAGCAAUUCUGAAUCUUAGUUAUACAGUAAGUCUCGAAAAACCAGCAAAAUGUCGAAUCUGUAGAGCUGAAACAGGCAUGCAGUAACUAAGAAAGCCCAUACCGUAAGUUUUGCAGGGAAAGCAAGUUAUAACCACAAUCCAAAAUGUUAUUGGAAUCAUUGAAGGUGUAGAAGAACCUGAUAGGUAAGUUUGAAUAAUUCAAACAUGCAAUGUACAGCAAAUUAAUACGCAUCUCUGAAACAAUUCUGCAUGAUGAAAUUGUCACGUAAGAAAAUGACAAGCAAAUUGUUAUAGCAAGCCCUACAAUAGAAAUGAUAGCCAAAAUGAAAUCAUAAUAUUAUUUUCCAAAAAACUGAGCCUGGAUAAACAAAAUCAAGCUUACCGAGUAACUUUCUAAUGCUAGAUUUUCCUCACACAGUUGAAAAUUUUCUAGAUAUGUCAUACUUGGGAAUCACCGGGAUGCAUGGACAUUUGGAGCUGUUGAUCCAAAUAGUGGCACAGCAGCCCUGCUUGAGGUAUGUAAAAUUUUGGUGCUUAAAUCGUCUUAACAUCCCUAGAUUCAAAUUCCAAGGAAAAUAGCAGUUCAACUGAUAUUUUUGAGAGAGACAGGUUGCACACAGGAUGUGGAAGCUCCAGGAAAAAGGUUGGAAACCUCGGCGAACAAUUAUAUUUUGUAAUUGGGAUGCUGAAGAAUAUGGCCUGGUUUGUCUUUCGCUCCUCUCACUGUAGCACAUUCACUCGUCCACAUGCACCCCUGGCUCCUUUCAAAUAACCAAAGCUAGAAAGAGGCUGUGUGAGCUCAUACAGGCAGAACAUAUUUGUUGUUUUAACUGAAUUAUAAGCAGUUCACCAUCUUCAGAUAGGAUCAACAGAAUGGGUUGAAGAGAACAGGGAAAUGCUAGCAUCAAGAGCUGUAGCCUAUAUGAAUGUUGAUAUUGCAGUUCAAGGAUUAGGAUUUUAUGCCUCUGCAACUCCACAGCUCGAUGAGCUACUAAUAAAAGCAACUAAGCAGGUACGAAACGAAUCUCAAGGGUUGGGGCAACAGGGUUUUACAACAUUGCCAUAUGCAUUAACAAUGAUUGCAUAUGGUUAAUCCACGUAGAAAGCAUCAAGUUUAAAAAUAUAUAUAUAGAGGUGCAAAUGUAGUUUAACAGCACAAGAAUACCAGUCUGUCAAACUUCAAAUGUCAAUUUAUGUUUUAUCUUUCUAUUCUCACUCAAAUUAGAUAAACUUCUGACUUAGGUCCAAGACCCGGAUAACUCCUCGCAAUCCAUCUACCAAUCCUGGAUUCGCUCCAGUGAAAAUCCUAAGGUAAGCAUCUUAAGAUAGUUUAAAUAAGAAAGAGAAUUGCGUAAGAGUUCUUAAAUGUGAACCUUGGGGUUGUGGGAGCAGGGUAAACAUUACAAGCACUGAAUAUAUGGCCACGUCCUAGACCAUUGUGCUACCACUUUGAUUUAUAAUUUAUCUUUACGAGAUAACUCAAUUGAUGCUUUUCAACUAAGGCAUUUAGCUACUUAGGUUUAAAAUCAAACUGCCCCUGAAUACCAAGAAUUACUAAAUCUAAAAGGUCAGCUUCUGGAUUUCUGUGGCCUUGAUAAGUGGCUUUUGGAUUUCAAUAUUGACAAACUGACCAAAAGGUCUUUAAGAUUGGAAGGUUAGGAGGAGGAGGAUCAGAUUAUUCUGCCUUCGUUCAGCAUGUUGGUGUUCCAGCUACUGAUAUCUCUUAUGGAGAAGGUAAAAGGAAUAUAUUCUGGCAAUCUUUUCACAAAGCAAGAGAUGCUUGCAUCAAUGGUUAUUACGCAGAUAUCCAAUUAAUUUCACCUUAAUGUAAUUUGCUCUGUCUUUUCAUUAAUUCCUUCACAUAGUAAGCUCCUAUGUCAUCUCCAAAACAACCCCCACCCCUCUUCCCAACCCCCCUGUCCUCUCCCCAGAAGGCAAAAUAAAUGAAAAAAAAAAAAAGCAGAAUCUAAUAAGACCACUGAGCAUUCAAAGCAAAACCUCGUACCAUAAAGCAUCCUAAAUAAAUAUAUCAGAGAAAUAAAUAGAAAAACAAUGUAAAAGCUCAAAACUUAAAGCAAUUUUUUUCUUUUUAAGCUAUUCAUGAUUCUUCAUGGUAAGAAUCAAUGAAGGGAUUUACGGACCAUGCAAGGAAAAUUAAUUUUUGUAUAGUAGGACUAAGAAAGCAGUAGCUUCGACAUACAUUAAGAACCAAAAAAAAACUUCUAAAAGCAAAAUAAUCUUACCAUCAUCUUUCCUCAUAACAAUUGGUCAGUGAGUGUGAUGAAAUUACAUCAGCCAGUUCUCUAGCAUCACUUAUCAUUUGUAUGUAUGUUCAUUCUCCAUAACGUUGUGUUAUACCACUUGACUUUCAUUACAAGAGAAAUAAUGACAUUAUACUCGUUAGGCUCUAAAGCAGUGUAGAAUGAUUACUUAAACAAAUCACAAAUUUAGAAAAGCACAAAAUCUCCAUUUCUCUAAAAGAACACCCAAGUAUCAUAGCUCUGGAGAUAUCGAGCAUGUUAGCAUAUCUAGGCAAAAAACUUUAUUUAGAUCUGGUGCAUAGUAUGUAUAACACGCUCAUAUCAAUCUAACCAGUAUAGUAACAGUGCUAGAUCAGGAUCAACUCAGUACAUUGAGUUUCUUACCUUGAACAAUAACCUAUAAAGAACAUCUUUUUUUAAAAAUGUCAUAAAAACAAGGGGAAGACAGCAAUAGAAAAAGAAAAUUACAGGAUGAGUUGAGAAUAAGAGUCGGAGUAAAUGGUACAGGGACAUCAACCACAAUGUAUCAAACAUUUAAGAGAAAACAAUGGUGUAAGAUCAAGUAGAAGAAGAAGAGACAGAUUUUUUAACAGCCUCAAAACAAGGUUUGCUUACCCAUUAAUUACAUACCUCCUGACUAAUACACAGGCCAUCCAUCCACUCUCUGCUGCUAAUUGGCUAGGCUUAAAAUUUUCAUCUACAAUCUGCACCAACUCUGAACAACAUCAAAUAGACACCACAGCCUAGAAAUUAAUCCAAAAGAAUAGAGGGACCUGAUGAAGAUACAGAUGCAAGAUUGAUAGGUCAAAUGAGUACAUUUUGCCAGAUGUCUAGGACAAACUCUAAUAUACACUAAGAUCAUCAUGAAUCAAGUUAGUUGUGAAGAUCAAUGUAUUUCCCCCACCCAAUUACACUUCUAACGUUGCACAAAAGUCAAAACCUUGCCUCUCCCAUGACACUCUUAGAGCAUAAGAAUCUCGACAAAAUAUAAUUUGCAGAAGAAAACAAAAUAAAAUCAGAAUCAGACCAAUACACUGAGAAUUCUAGCGAAUCAUCCAAGGCACAAUGUUCUAUUCAGUUGUCUUGACAGGCAUGCAUUCAGACAGAUUCUAGCCAACCCUUUAACAUCACUAGCAUACAAAGAACUGGUAAUGCCAGAUGCAUAAUUAUCAUGGACUUAACUAGUUGCAAUCGAGAAGCUUGUCUCCUUAAAAAUGUGCAUGACACAAGAAUUAACAUUUUUAUUGAGUACCAUCAUCUUUACUUACCACAUUACAAACACGUGUUGAGGCUGUGCAAUCAGAGUAGUUCAUAGUACAAGAAUUAAUUCGUAUAGACAUGACCCAGUUGACCUUAAAAGUACAUCAUGCAUAAAUUUUUUUUCCCUUAAGAAACAUAGACUUAUUAUUUCCAGCACUAGAGAUUCUCUUCCAGCACAAAAUAUAUCAUACUAAGCAAAAACGCUAGGCAUACUCCUUUUUAAGAAUCGGUCCAAUUCUUGAACUUUAUGACUUCUAACGGUUUUCAACUAUCACUUGACAAAAUUUGGUGCUUGUAGAUUAUCCAGUCUAUCACUCAAUGUAUGAUGACUUCAUCUGGAUGAAGAAAUUUGGCGACCCAAAGUUUCACAGGCAUGUAGCAGGUUAGUUAUAAUUUUCUGCUAGAUAGUAGAAUUUACUGCAAUUGCAUAGACAUCUCAAUGGCUUGUGAGAUUAAAAGUUUCAUCACAUAAUUGGGAUGAGCUAUCAAUUAAUCAUCAGAAAUGCCAAUCUUACAGAAUAGAAAGUCACAAAGAAACUCUUAUGUUCAGUUGAAAACAUAAAUUAAGUUGAUCCCGCUCAAAUAUUUCAUAAAUUCCCCACCAUCCCCUUAUUAGCAAAUCAGUUAACAUUUGGCAAUGAAAUCAAAAGUUGCAGGAAUCACAUGCAUAAUAAGACGGAUAGUGUGCAGAGAAGUGCAAAAAAUAUAUUAUUUAUUGGCCCUCUCCAAAUGAAAUUUCUUAGUUCAAGCGUCCAUUUGGCUAAAAGAGUUCCUAUAGAAGCAGGGUCUAAAAUCAACAUGGAAGAAAAACAACAAGACCAGGUUUCAUUUAUCAGGCAUUCAAAAAAUAAUGCAUAUUACAUGGAAACCCAACAAAAUACUGAAAAACAUUAAACAUAGCAAAACACAGAUUCAUUUAACAGACAGUAUUCAGCAUAACUGACAGAAAUACUAUGUUGGAGAGAUGUGUUAAAGGAGGAGGAAGAAAAAGAAAAUUGCAAAUAGGAAGAAUUAAGAUAAGGCGACGAAAAACUGACGGGCAUAAAGGUUUCGAGCAGCAAGAAACAACAAUAAUUUAUCCAAUAGAGCCAAGAAACAUCAUAAGAACCUAUGAUUGUUUAGUUAGAUGAACAAUGUCAGAAAUGACAACGAAAAUAUGACUUAAUUCAAAAACUAAAAAAAAAAAAUCAAAUACAGAAGCUUACUGCUUGUGUCAGACACUACAGACACUUUCAAGGCACUGAAGGGAACUCAAAAGUUUCAAAAGAAAUGAAAGAUUACCUUAGACAAGUCAUUGCAUACUCAAACACUUGCAGGACACAUCUCACCAAAUAUUAAAAUUGAGAUAAAUUUUCAUGUAUAAAGAAGAAACUUUUCAUAAAAAAUUUGGUAGCAUGAGUAGUACACAGUAAAAUUAGAAUACGAACCUGUAUCGAAUAUAUCAAGUAUCUGUUUCAGGCAUUUGACAAUUGACAUGGAUAGAUACUGAAUCAGACCCCUCUAAUAUGUUUUAAACCUAAAACAGACAUCUUCUAACUCCAUGUUAUAGUAGAUCAUGCAUAUAGUGCUCCAUGACACAUGACUGCUCCACAACAAGUACCAUUAUUGUAUGAUUAAAUCGUCACAUUUCCUAAUCUUCACGGAAGGAUAUAGGAGAAAUAAGAUGCUUUAAAUCAUGGUCUAUAUCGCAUCAAUGUCCAUGAAAGAUAUUAAAAUUUCAGUCAAACAAAUAUAGUCUCACAAAGAUUAGCUGCAUUACGUAUACAUAGUUAUUGCUCCAUCAUCACUAAAUAUACACAUAUUGUGAUGCAAGAGCAAAUUUAAUAUACAGAUGUUGCUAGAGACGGAUUUGUUAUUCUAUACCACUACUUCUAUAAAAAAAAUUCCUUCAAUUGUGUUUUCAUUCAUGUUGUUUCCUAUCAUCCAUUUUCACAAAAGAGACGAAAGUUCACUCAAACAACCUAAACCAUUAGAAACAUAGCUGCAUUAUGUACACAAAUAUUGCUUCAUCAUCAGUCACUGUUACAGUGGCUCGUGUGAUUCAACAGCAAACUUACAUUGUUAUAAUGCUACAGGUAGAUUUGUAGCUCCAGAUAUGUAAUACUUAAUAUAAAAAAAAUAUACCCUUUAGUUGUGUUUUCAAUCCUGUUGUUUUCUAUCAUCUAUUUUGUCCAACACAAUUCUACUUCAGCAGUUAAAUCUUUUCAUCAACUUGUUUCUUUUUGUGUACGAACAGUGACAAGUAUUUGGGGUUUAUUAGCACUUCAGCUUGCUGAUGAAGAAUUUUUACCUUUUGAUUAUCUGUCCUAUGCCAAUGAGCUGCAGGUAUGUUUCCUAUAGUGGAGAAAUGAGUAUAAUAUACCUGCUUCUACAAUUGAAAGUAAUCUAAUCUUUUGAUUGUUUGAUCCUGUAACUAGAGAAGUGUGGAAGAGUUGAAAAUUGAGUUGUCAGAAAAGGGCAUAAAACUAUUUCCCUUAUUUAACUCUAUCAAGGAACUGAGAAUGGCAGCAACUAAAAUUGCUAAUGAGAUAAAGGUACAUCUCCAGCUCUAUUAGUCAAAAACUUGGUAGAGAUCUCUAAGUGUGCUAAAUUUUAUUGAUGGAAGCACAAUUCAUUAGGUGCUACAAGACAGAAAUGUUUGGGCUUCUGUAUCAAAAAAUGACCACUACAAAGUAAGAGAAUUGAAUGACAGACUAAUGAUGGCAGAGCGAUCAUUCACAGACCGCGAAGGACUUCCUGGAAGGACAUGGUACAAGCAUUUGGUAAGCUUCUUUAAAUCACCUGCAAGUGACCUUGUUGUAGCUAAUUAAAAAUUCAGUUAAGUGCUUGUUAUUUCACCUUGAUUGAAGGUUCUUAUUUUCUUCCAUUACAAAGCACAAAAAUGACAUCAACUUAGACCAAAGAAUUUCAGGAAAGAAUAAUCACAAAAGCAUUUGGAACAUCUAGUAUACCAAAAUGCGUGCAGCUGAAAAUGACACUUUUGAUAACUGAAACCAAAUACUGACUGAUGCUUUAUAUCAUUCAGAUAUUUGCACCAUCAAAGCACAAUGAUUAUGGUUCUAAGUACUUCCCUGGAAUAGAUGAUGCCAUCGAAAAGGCCAAGAGCAUUAACACCACAGACUUGUGGCUUGCAGUACAGCAUGAAGUCUGGAGAGUAUCUAGAGUGAUUAAACAUGCUUCACUGGUCCUCAGUGGUCAGUUAACAUGACUACCGUCAUCUUAUACCCCUAAAUUCCACGUGUGUAUUCGCUAUUAAUAAUAAAACAAUUGGGUGACAUCUGGUGGACUUGCUUUAGUUCAAGACAGAAUCUGGGGAUUUUAUAUUGCAUUUUGUUUUUUUUCUUAGGUAUACUAUUGACUGUUCCUCAUUUGACUCACUAAUGGUUAGGAAAAAGAACUUGAUGGUCACAAAGGGAGAUAACCUGUAGUUAAGCUAAACAUGCAAACGCCCAACCUGAGACCAUUUCUAAUAACCAUGUAGUCUAAGUCCUAGCUGCAUGAUACAAAAUUCCAACAUAAUUUCUCAGGGAAAUGAUUGGCAACUAAAUAUUUUACAGUUUAUUCUUGAUUUCUCAAAUUUGGAAAAUCAGUCUAUUGGUUUGCAUCCAUCUGAAGUGAAAUUUUCAAGAUCAAUACCACAGACAGGCUUUCACAAUGCCUCAAAAAUUUCCAUCCAUCAUUAUGGCAGUUAUAUCAAACGGGAGAUAAAUCCAAUAUUUAAAGAACUUCAUAGUGGUUGAGCAAACAAAAUACUACCUAAUCCUUUUAACAGCACUAUAACAAAUUCUUUUAACAGUUUCACAGUUGAGCCAGUAAUGUGGCCUAGGCCAACAAAUAAGAAUUAAAGUUUCACAAUUAGAGGUCUAAAUGGAGUACAACAGUUUGACAUACUGCAGUACCAAGCUAAAGGAAAGUUGGAUGUCAACACAAAUGAAAGCAUUAUUUCCAUGCAAAAAGAAGAUAUACAUGUCACAAUAAGCUCAUAAGCUGUACAACUAAAGCUAGGUUAGAAAUGUAAAGCAGUUAGGAACACAAAAAUCUGUAUUUCAGAUUUGGUAAAUACUGUACAAUUAUUUCUACUGAACCUACAAUAUAUACAAUGAACAACAGUUAUUUCCGAGUCCUCUACUUCCAAACCUUAAUUGCACCAUCCCUACUGCUCGAAAUCAGAAGCCUCUGGUUCAGCUUCACAGAAGCCAAAGAGAGGACAGAAUCACGGUGACAUCCUGCAGAAUCAGUGGCAGCACCAGCAAGGAUAGUCUUUGUGGUCAAUCUCAUUGUCAAAGGUCGUCUUCUGCCCUCCUGUUUGUAAAAAAGAUCAAUAUAAAUUAGUAGGCCAUCAUCCCAGAACAUAAGUGAGGGGCUAUUGCUCGUCCAAAUGCAGCUAGGUAAGUUUACAAUCACAGGCAAAAAGAAGAAGCGAUAGAGAACCAUUGAACUAAAGAAAAUCUUCAGUUUGAAAAUGUACGACAUUUGAAUCCAACACUACCCCCCCCCCGGGGGGGAGCCCAACCAUCAGUCCAGUUUUCUCCUCCCAGGCAUGGCCCAGGAUUUUAAACUAGUACCUUUACAAUGAGAAGGGAAGAAACUUCUCAAGGAUUGCCAAAAAAAAUACAACUUAAGAGUCCCUAAUAAUUCUGAAUAGAAGCCUACCCAAAUUUUCAAGAACUUCAUUAGAAACAAUUCAUGUCCCAAGUAAAAAAGAGAAACAAAUCAUGAUGAUGCCAUUAACAUACCUGCACAACUUGCACACCAUAGUAAGACUUUGUCUCAAAACUAUCAUCAUUUCCAACUCCCUUUAUAGAUGGUCCACAUACGCAAUAACUUCGAUCAGGGCUGAAGCAUAGAUAUACAAGGGUCAAUAGAAUUGCAAUGACUGCCCAAAUGCAUAAAGAAAAUUGGAAAAUGUACCUGGAAUGGUCCCAGCGACGUAUUUUCAAGUCAGUACCCCCUGUCAAUAGAUCCCCACCUGGCAACGGAAGUAAAGCACGGAUGCCAGGAAGACGUGGAGGUGGUUCAUUCAACUCAUCGAUUCUAUAUUUCGAAUUAGCACUUACCCUGAUAUCCGAUUUGGCAUUGCCCUUGCUGGAUGCUCUGGCUAAUGCCCAAGGCGAGUCAGAAAUUUCAGCAUCGGUCUCAUUAUUUGCUACCCUCAACACCUGCAAAAAGCAGAAUAAGUAGCACAAAAAUCCACCAGUAUAAAAGCACGAAAUGUUAUUGCAGUGAUUGAACGACAGGUGCCAACUGCUCAUUCCAUUCAUCAGUCUAACUACAAUAUCGGGGUUUCGUAUAUCUUAUUCGAGUGAAUUUCACAUUUAAAAUCUAAUUGUCUGUAACUUCCAAAGUAUCCCAGCACAACAAGUAUAUUCUCUCAAAAUUACUCCUCAGACGUACAUUAUACUUCCCCCUCCAAUCCUUCUGUAUCUCCAUAACUAAUCAUCCCUCCCAAGCAUGCAUGGUUACCAGCAAGAAAAUCUAUAUGGAUCAUAUUCUUUCUAAAAUACAACAUCACAUCAAUCAAUUUAACCACAUUCAGUCAAAUUUCACUCUUUUGCUAGAUUCUUUACUAUUUUGUAAAAAGUACAAAGUGAUCCAACUGUACCUGAUGGCAGCUUCCAUUUUCUGCAUUCCAAAGAGAAACUUCAUUACACCCUGCUGCAACAUAAACAAGAGGUCUGGUAGAUAGGAAGAAGGAGGUACUAGGAGGAGGAACAAAAAGGCUCAUUUUCUCAAUUGGGCAUGCAAGAGAAUACUGCCAUGAAUUGACAGGUAUUCCAAACCUCAAAUCCCAAAGGGUAAGCACGCCUCUUGAUGACCCAGUGACAAACCAGUUCCCACAAGGAUCUGCAACCAGAGAAGAUACAUAACCCUCCUCAGGGACCACUUUUGAAUUCCAAACAUUUGAACUUGUUCUUGUAUCCCACAGAUGAAUUCCACAAUUCUGGGUACUGUACAAAAUCAUUUUGCAAGCACCACCAUCAGGGGAGUAGUUCAAAAGGUUUAAUAUAGCACCUUCUCCAACUCCGUUCUUUUUAACAUCAGCUAUGCCUGAAUAUUUCUCCACAACAUUGCCCAGACCCCCGGAUACGUAAUCAACAGAGAACAUGUGUAUAGCUCCAUCACAAGCUCCAACAACAACUUGAGCAGAACCCUGGAUCACAGCAACACACAGUGCUCGACUUCCAUCUAAAGAAUAAGUUAGGCGCGACCUGAAUGAGAUAUCUUUUUCUAACCUUUUAGAAUCCCAAAGUUUAACAGUAGAAUCUUCAGAUGCACUUACGAAAAAGCUAUGGUCAGUGGAAACAGCUAUGUCAUUAACAGCAGAGUGGUGAUCCUGGAGAUGCGCAACCAACACCCCACGAGGCCUCCACCCUGAAUCUGGAAUCGUCGAUGUUCGCCCAAAAGAUGGUACAUCUGCACCCUCACUUGAAGCAGAAUUACUUUCAAUUGAAAGGGAACUCCCUUUUGUUGUGCCAGACACUCCCAUUUCCAGAAACUUGUUAUUUACAAAGGCUGUUUGAUCCAUUUCCCUGUCUUCAACUUCAUGUACAACCCUUCGCAAUUGUGUGGAACCACCACCAAUGCUGAUUGAGCCUGAGAUAAACUUAGGAGCUGGAUCUGAAUUGGCCAAGCUAAAUGAUUUACUAACUGGAUCCAUCCAUGGCAAGGAUGCAGAACCAAAACCUAAAGAACCACAUGGUAAUGAUGAAUCAGAGACUGUUGGAGAGCCUGCAGCUCGUUUGUUAUCAACUUUAAAGUAAUACAAAGGAAUGCCUUGUGAUGAUUUCUCCAUUAAACUGUUCAUUCCACUAAGAGGUGGAGAGAUAAAACCGGGCAGCUGCAACUUUUCAGAAUCCAGGAAGUCGCCAGAAUCCAUAGCCAUAGGACUUUGCACUGAGUUGCCCACAACUUUUGAAUUCUGGUCAUUAUCAUUACAAUCUGCAAGAUCCAGAGGCAGAUUUGCACGUUCAACAACUUUAUUGCUCUGAAGAUCUCUUUGUCGGUCAGACCAGCACAUCAUUGGAUCCAGCUCCUUCACCCCUCUCUGAAGAAAAUCCACUGUUUCCCAAUUUUUAGCCUGUGAGUCACUGUUGUACCAUAUUUUUCGCUGUCUCUCCAGCAUGUCUGAGCUCCUGGCACUUUCUAAAACACGAUAGUAUCUCUCUCUUGACACUGGUGGCUCUAGGCAUGAAAAAAGAGCCUUUUCUGAAGCUAAAGAUGCUGGUUGUCUACGCAGGAAGGUGCGUAUAACAGGCACAAGGAAAACAUAUGAAUCUACUGCACCUAAACUCUCGCUGCUAGCUGCAAUGAAUGUGACAUCGGCCCUCCUGACCCAUUGACUAGGAUAACACAACAGUGGAAAAGCGUGUUCUAUCAUCUCAAGCAAGAUUCUCUUCCUUAGAAAUCCACUUUUGCAUAAAAUAGCUAGGCAUUCCAGAGCAUUCACAAUUACAGCCUCAGUUACAUCACUUAAAGCCUGCUCAAUGUAUGGCAAAAGAUAUUCCUCGACACUCCGUUGUCCCACGAAAAAGCAGACAUAUAUGAUCUGUCCAUAAAACACUGCCCUGAGUUGCUCAUCCCGGUCAUUUAGGAAAGCUGGGAGGAUGGGCAACAAGAAAUCAUUACUCUGCCUCUGGCCAAAAAACCAACAAAGAUUGCCAAUGUCAUGCAGGAGUGCUCUCCUGAUAUUUGGUGUUUGCUUUGGGCCCAUCACAAGUUCUUGAAUGACAUCCGCAAUAGACUUCCUUAAUUGCACAAGCUGUGCAUCACUAUUUGGACUGUAUCUCCUUCCAGAUGUAUCAGAGGAUGUAGAGAGUGACUUCUGUGGCGAACUUGAUUCACUGAGAACUCCUGCCUCACUCAAGCUUAUAGAGUGAAUCAAAAACCCAUAAGCAGUAAGUGCCAGCUUAGAUAUAUUGCUUGCAUAACAUAUCCUUACACUUUCCUCUGGAUCAUCAGGGAGCAUGGAGAGCAUUGGAAGAAUAUACUCGGGAAAAAUUUUAGCAUCACUGGGUGGAAAAUCUCUGACUAAGGGAAGAAUGUCACAUAAAGUCUCUAGGGCAGCACAACGCACAAUUGCAGCUGGAUCUGAGAGCAUUGCAAUGACAUAUGGAAGCACACGCUGCAAUCGAUCUUCAUCAUCAAUGUAUAAGGAACACGACUUCAAUAGAAGCACAGCCCCUCUCCUCAUGAAUGGCAGUUUGACAUUUCUUAUGCAGGAACAGAGCAAUGAGGCAAUCAGAACCAUACCUUCACAGCUCAUGAUAUCUUGAGGUAAUGGUAGAAAAGGCAUACCAAAAGUGUCUGACUGGUUGUCAUAAUCCGACAUUAAUGAGUUCAAAUCACUUGUUGUUAUCUUUUUUAAGAAGGGAUGGUGACUUCUGUUAAAUAUAUUAGAGAUACUCUGAAUCAGCUCAUCAGGAGAUUGCACAUCACACUGCUUUCUGUUUUGAGAAUAUGCAGAUCUAGCCACACCUUCCAGCAACGGUUUCAUGCUAUGAAAUCGAUUAUUUUCCUUUACAUCCCUGAGUAGAUUACCAACAUCACCAAGAAGAUCAAACCUAUCAUGAAUUGAGCCCUUAUCCACCUUUUCUCUUUUACUACUGGUGUCCUCCACAUUUGUAUUAUGUUGUGCAUCAGUCCCAUGGAGAGAUUGAUGCAUAGCAUCUAAAGAAAGCGCCUCCCCAGAAACAGUCUCCUUGACUACACUACUGCUCAUCAUUUGUCUAAGAAUCUCUUGAAAAGACGUCUGGCAUAUUAAAACCUACACCAAGGAGCUUUCUAAAUAAGCUUGAGCACAGCGUAAUUAUCACCAAGAUAAAGAUCAAGCACCAAAAAUACCUUACCCUUGCAUCAGAAUUAAGGGGAUUCAACAAGGAAUAGAAAUUGUGGAGAAAUGGAGAGAAGUAGCCAGGAAACACAAUGCCAGAGAAGUUCUGCAGAUAGCUUUCAGCAGAAAAACGUGCCUCCGGAUCCAAUUGAAUCAUAUGAAGAAUCAUCUUGCGGAUUCCUGAAUCUGGAAUCUUUAUGCAGACAAGAUAAAGACCAAAAAUAAAAGUUAAUUUAGAGAUUCAAUAAACACUCUAAGUGGACUAGUAGGCAAACACUUCAACCUAUAUAGUGAAGUCAAUGUUCCAUGAAAUUUCUUGAAAGAGAUUAAUUGGGAAAAUAUGAUGAUACAGGAAGAAGCAGAGAAAGGUCCUUUGGUUAGAGCCAAGUUAAAAUGGCAUUGACUAGAUCUUACUUUUUCUAGAUGUUGGCUAGGAUCAUAUUGUCCUCUACGAUAAGCAAGCAGUUGAGACAACUCAAACAAUGGCUGACCCUCGAGGAAUAGCUCAGCUAUUACACACCUGAAGCAAGAACAUGGAAUUGAAGAAAAGUGUAAAUCCAUUGUAUCACAAGGCAAGAGCUUAUUGCCAUAUAGAUAAAGACAUCCUCAUCAAAGAUUUGUGCCUCAACCAUAAAAGCAACCAUCCAAAGCCAAAAAAGUCAAGAAAAUUAGUUUGUGAACUGCUUUGUAUAACGUAAAAAGAGAACCUCUUGACCCAACCAAUAUGUAUAUACCAAUAAAAUGUAGCAACUAAAGCAAACAAAACUUAAAAUAAUAGACCACAACUGGAUUGCUUGGAUGAAAUAUGUAGAAAUGAUAGUAAUUAAUUUGAUUGUGCUCUAACAUGAACGCUCACUUGAAGGCUGUACAUGAUUAUGCAAGCCCAAUUAAUCUCCUAUACACUAGCAGUGUCUGUCAGGCCUGGAUGCAUGACAACUAAUUUUAAUUUCAAUUUGAAAUCCAAGUUUUACAUGGCAAGCACCCAAGGCCAACAGUGCAUUCAUUGUCGGUGCAUAUAAGAUUAAUCCAUAGACAAGAGCUAAAACAAAUGCUAUUGAUCUAGAACCCUAAUCUUUUUUUCAGAAAUACCAAUUUGAUUACCACAUGAUAUAGAAGUAUAAGUUAUUGCAAAGAACUUUGGUUGUUUAUGGACUCCUGCAAAAGCAACCGAUGUGAAGCGCAUCACAUUCCUUGAAUGGGUUUGGGGCAAUUUCAUUACUGUUGUUGAGGAAUAAAUCAUUGAUCUACUUGUAGGAUUUGAUACAAAAGGUAAAAGAAUCUUUACCCAAUUUUAUUAAAGAUCUAUUGUCACCAAUGCACUGUAUUAAACAAAGAAUCUCACAGACCAACAUAGUCCUACUACUUUCACAUACUUCAUCCAUGUGGGCCAAUUACAAGUCCCAACCACACUUUAGUCAGCCCCCACAAAAAAGAACACAUUUUUUUCUCCAUGUUUUGACUUAGUAAGGUGACAAUGUUAUUUGGCUAUUUGCACAACAGCAAGAUCGUCAAAACAAAAGAUGAACUUGCACAGCAAGCUAAAAGCUACAAGAUGUGAGUUCAAGGAAAUAACCUGUUCGAGCUUGCCAGAUCAAGUCAUUCAAAGUAACAGGCAGAAAGAGGGUAGAAAAUGAUACUGUUCAUAUAUAGUGCAAAGUCCAGGAUGCCAGAGAGAUACAAUCAUCUAUGUCCAAUAAGAAACAAUGAUUCCCACUCACACAAACGAUUUCAGACAAGUUUCUGACACAUAUCAAGCUCAGAUCCAGAAUUCCAUCAAAAGAUGAAAUGACUAUUGUUUUAAAAAUGUAAAGCAAGACACAAAAGUAGAAAUUUUAUCAUAUAAUAAAGAAAGACAAACAUGUGAUACGAACAUCUAUUUAAUAAAAUAUCAAUAAGACAAGCAAUGUUCCUUAGAUGGAAAAACAAAUCCUGGAUCAAGAAACAUCUUAUUGUUAAGUUAACAUAAUCAGAUACUUUACUUCCAAGUUCAGGUUCUUAUAAAACAAUGAGUGAUAUUUAUGCUCAAGCAGCAUAUGCAGGUAUAAGUAAAUUAAAAUUUCAGGACAAACAAAGACUUGCACAAGGAAAAAAUUAUUCUUUCAAAAUGGGAAAGAAGGUCUCAUCAUAUCUUCAAUUCAGUAAAUUGCAAUCUAGUGUGUGCAUUUGUGUAUUUCAAUUCGCAUAAAUAAUUUUAAAAGCAUGUAUAACUUUAGUUAAUGCCACUUCUCAUGUACUGGGAAAAGCGCAUUUACCACCUUUAGGCAUCACAUUAGAUUUCUCAAGCACCACUGCCCAUGCUUUUACAAGACAACAACCCUCUUGGCACUAAAACAAAAGCAGUGCAAGGGGCUAAUAUAGGACAAUUUGCAGCAGAAGGGGCACUAAACUUGUUAGUGAUAUAGGCUGAAGCCAAAGAGAAAAUCUAGAACUUAAACAAUAACUGGGAAGUAAAGGAUUCUGGGUCAAUUGAUAAAAAAUUAGCAUAGGCAGCAACAAUUGUCUUUUGAUAGUAUUGCAAAAGAAAAGACCCACAUUGACCAAAAUAUCAACUGUCACAAUACAUGUUGCCACUUUCAAAACAAUUUCCACUUAUCUGCACACUGACGUAAACAUGAUUCUACUACUAUGGAGCAUUUAAGAAGCAAAUGCUCCUUGAAUACCAAAACUUCAAGAACCAAAGAGAUAAAUUAUUUACAGUGUAUUUUUUAAUAAAGUAAUCUUCAAUUCCAAAUUAUCAGCUCAAAUGCCAGAAAACUCACCCUACAGCAAAGAUGUCCAUUGAUGGUUUUAAUGGUGCAUCUUGAGCAACUUGCGUUUCACCUCCAUGCCCAUAAAAUCUCUGAAAAAUGAAAGAACUUCUAUUAGCAAGUAUAGACAAAAGGCAACUGUCACAUUCAGUAAAUGCAAUUCUCUCUCUCUCUCUCUCUCUCUCUCUCUCUCUCUCUCUCUCUCUCAUUUUCUUUGUAGAAAGGAACUUCUAAUAUUUUACAGUCUAGUUAACCAUGCUAUAAAUAACCAAUUUUCCAUUUGAAAGAGGAAAAGAAUCAAUCAAUACUUGGUAACAAUUUGAUGAUCAUGCGUCAUGAAUGGUCAACAUAGGAUCAAAAUUAAUCUCCAGUCCGAAUUAGUCUUACAGGGGAUGAUAAUUUCGCUGAAUGUGACCAUUCAGGUGAUCCAUACUUCAGGUUUUGGAUUCUUCUACAAGACUUUUGUUUUUGCUUUUUAUUUUCUACACUUCCUAAUGCAUUUUGCUUCCCAUCAUCAUUAGCAUAAUGUUUAUGUCCUUUCUGCACUAUAAGAAACCUAAACAUAUGUUGUUGUACCUAACAGACAAGGAGAAAAGAAAGUCCAUUUAUUUGUCUUCUUAUAUCCAUCCAUAACCUUAUCACAACUGUGAUCAUGAAUCCAAUAAAGCUUACAAAGGCAGCUGCACAAACUAAACAUAAAUGGUCAGGGCUACCAAGAAAGUUGUGAAAAUUGAAAAACAAUAUUUAUGGACCAAAAAGUUGGAGAACAGUUUCCUUGUUUUACCUUAAUUGGACAAAGGGAGAACUCUGAAGUAAGAGAUCUAGAUGUCAAUAAAGCAAUUAAUAUGAAAUGUCUGUAGUAAUGAAUUUCAAUUUUGUCAAGGGGGCGAAAAAACACACAGUUACGUAAUUGCACAUAGAUUCAGCAAGGGUGUCAUUUAGUAAUUGUCAUGGUAAGUGCUGUUUCCUUAAACAUAAAUAAGCCGUCUGCCUUACACAAAUGGGGGAAAUUGUGAAUGUUUAGAAAGUUCAUCUUCAAAAGGACGAGGAGGAGGAAGCAAUAUUUGGUUGUUACUAGUUGUCAGGCAAAUUAAGAAAACCACUCCAUCGAACUAAAAGAAUCACCAAUAAAGCUGAUCAAGAUAGUCAAGUACUUUUAUUGUGAGUUAAGCUAGUGUCUUUGAAAAGAAAUACAACAAAAAACUCAUUCUAGCACUAUGUAUACAGACAACCAAAAUUAACUUUUCAUCUGAAAUUGGAUCUCACCAGCACAAACAAAUAGGAAGCAGACAACAUUCUCCAGAAUACACCAAAAAGGUCAUUCUUCUAGGGCACUUCUUACAGAAAAUAAGAAGUUACUUCCAUUAGUCACCAAAAGGAAAGAAGUUGACUCAUAUUAGAAAGGCCCUUUUAAAAAAUGAGAAAUAUGUGUUGUUAACUGCAUAGUGUUUCCCCCUAUCUUUAUGUUUUAUGACACCAGCCAACUGAAAGGUUGAAAAUCAGCCACUCUAAUCAAACAAGCAAUCCAUUAACAAUAUGAAAAAUCAUGACAAGAAGUUCAUAUAUCUAGCAAAACUUCUCUGCCAGGCAAUUUUAUACAUGUCCUCCCAGACCCGAAUAAUCAAAAGCAUUUGUUUGGAUUGAGAUGAUUUCAGAUAAAAUAAUUUGCUUCACAAAUUCCAAUUACCUUUUUAUCUCACAUACAUCACAUCAUAAAAAGUGCUACAGUAAUUAUCUCAAAUAAAUCAUCCAAAUAAACUCCUAUCCAAACAAACCCUCAUAACUAGAAUCCGAAUUUAUGUCAUUAAGCAAAAACCAGAAAGGUACAAUCAUAAAGCAAUGCGCCAAUGAAAAACUUAGCAAUUCAAAGUAACAGAAGAUCUAAGCAAUUUUAUGAUAAUCUCAACUGUAUCACAUUCUAGGCAGGAUAUUGCCAAAAUCCCAAGGCUUAUGGGAUGCUUUAAAUUUGUAUUAGCAUUAACCCCUAUAGUACUAGGACGAAAAGUUUAAUUUGAAGUCAAGAACUAGAAAAGCUCAAACUAAAAUAUUAUUUCCCAUCCUGCAUAUGUUAACAUAGAUUUUCACAUAAAUAUUAGAUGAAUUACAAAAUUAAAUUAAAUUAAGCUUAUCUUGCUAAAUUUCUGGUUGGGAAAAAAAAAAGAUUAACUAGAAUAAGAAACCAACCUCAGGAGCAAGGUAACACCGCCUUCUUCCACCAGUGUCAAAGAAAAACGAAAAAUCAGAAGGAUCAUCAUGUGGAAUAUACGUCGGUUUGAAUGAUGCAAAAUCAGCAAGAUAAAGCCAGUUCCAGGAAGUAACCAGAACAUUCUCACACUUAAUAUCACCUGCAUCAGAUUAAAUUAAGUUACUUCUUCCUAAGAAUCAAUAUAAUGUUGCUAACAGAGGAGAUUAAAUUUACACUUAUCUUACCAUGACAAACUCCAUUUUCAUGGCUCUGUUUUACAGCAUAAAGCAGCUGCAAGACGAAAAAUUUCAUUAAGCCCUAACUGCAACUAAAAGACUAACACUGCAAUGAGAAGAAAGAAAGAAACCUGAAAAGCCAGCCAUUUCUUCUCAACAAGACUGAGGAAAGGUCGAGUGCUCAGCCGAUCAUGAAGAUUAUUAAAAAAGUAUUGUCUCAACAAGUAGGCAGCUUUGUCAGUUUCAAGCCAAAACUGCAGCAUACAACAUUUGCAAAAUAAGACCAUUUUAAGCCACCAAAAAAGCAAGAAAACAAAACAAUCAUAAAGUCUUAAACUCCUUAAAGCGACUAAAAACCACAAUUAUUCAAUCAUUCAGAAGGAUUCAUCAGUCAAUGAGACAAUUAAACAUCUAAAUGUAGAUAAAGUAAAAGCCCUCCUUUUGGUGUCAACAAUUACUGUCAGUUUCUGUCACACCAAAACUGCCCUUUAGAGUUAGUAUAAAACUGCUCAAAUCUACCUUCAUUUUACAAUCAUGAUCUCAAAAACAAUAGCUUCAUUUAUUAAGAAAAAGAAAAGGGCAAUAUAACCAUAGACUUUCCAGCAAGCACAGGCAUAGGAUAUGCCAUAUACACUAGUCACCAGAAGUAUUUUUGCCUUUCUUCAUUUUCAGUCGAAACUUCAGGGAAUUCGAAACCUAAAUUCAUGGUCAUCACCUAAACACAUUCCUACCAAAUGUAAAAGGAAGAGAAAAAAAAAAAAGAAUGCAAAGUAUUUCCAUCAAAGUAUCAGCCUCGUGGUGCCCCCAACUUCCAAUGAAAAAAACAAUUUCAGACUGACAUGAAUGAUUUACAAAUUUGUCUUUAUAAACCUUCAAUUGGUAGCAUAAACUAAAAUUAUUUUAAAUAAAUACUACUUUACAAACACUAUUUUUCCCUGAGCUCCACUUUCUCCUAAUACCCAUAUUGGUAAACCAUAAUUCUACCUAGCUUGUAACAAAGUAACCGGGAGAAAUUCAAAUAGCAGCAUCACUUUGAUAAAGCAUUAAUCUGAUGCAACUCAUUUCCGCCACUGAUGUCCAUUGCUUUUGGCAAUCCCAAAAGGAACACUAGUUCCCAUAGCUCGACUAUGAACACGAGCUUAAUAUUUACUUCUGGCCCUUUGCUUACUACAUAUUACGCUCUCAUUUAACUGCUUUAUAAGAUGCUGCAACCAAAAAUUAAAAUGCAACCCUUUUAUUAAAUAUGCUUCACACUACAAUUUCUCUUCCACGUUCUUCUAAGGAAUGAAGUACUAAUCUCGGCAAGGGUGAUACCAAUUUUAGCCCUAUCCUCAAACUAAAAUACAAUUAAAAUCAAUUCACAAAUAUCAGUGCGAAGGUGCAUUUAUGUACAAAUAAAUGUACUUCAGAGUAAAAGUAGAGGCAGACCUGGAAGGGCCAGACAUGAGGGUGAUCGAGGCCAGUAAAUACACCGUGAAUUUGGGAGAGGCGGCGCUCGUAGUCGCGUAAGUCAAUGGAGUCCCCUCUUUUGAAAUAAACCUUGACUAGCACAAGUCCUUCGUCGUGCUUGCACAGGAUCGAUUUCAGGAAUCGUCCUCGGCCUAAGACUUCUUUCAAUACUAAAUUAUAAGAAGACGGUAAAUCGUGCAGGUAAUACUCCGUCGCCGAAGCUUGCGUUGUUCGCGCGAUUUUAUUCCCCAUUCUGAGCUUGUGUUGUUUUCCCUCUAAGCGUUUGAAUUAGCUAGGGUUUUGUUUUCUGUUUUGCUUUUAAUUGUUUCUUUCACAUUGGGCAGGUCGGGUUUAACGGUGACCGAAGCGCGGCAGAGAGGGGGAUCGGAGGCGGAGGUGGUGAUGGGAAGGGACGGAAUGGGGGGAGCUGCGGUUGCGUGGGACUGUGUGGCGGAAGCAAGGUAAUGCUACUGCAGCGGAUCGUUAAUUUUCCAGUGGUUUAUUGCCAUGUCAUCAACGAUUUGUUUUCACGUCUUGCACAAGAUUGUGAAAAAGCGUGGCCGUAAACCAUUCAAUGGAAAUUGCAUUUUCUCACGCUUUUCACCACUCCAUUUUUUUCUUUUUUCUUUUUUUGAAAAAACCAGUCAAUGCUCUUUGCGGAUAAAUUUUGGCUUUUCCUUUUGUUGUGAAAUCUGUUUUAUCGAGAAUGCUAGCCACCUUACAAAAAAAAAAAGGGCAAAAAAUCUCAGCGGCCAUUAAACUAUUGACGGAAUCAUAUUUUGGCCAUCGAACUAUUUUUUGUCAAUAAUUAGCCACUAAACAAUUUAAUCCGUAAAUCCAUGACCAUUUCGUCGUUAAUUGCUCUUAAGUUCUGAAAUUAGCAUUACACGUGUCAAAAUGGAAGGACAAUUUUGUCCAACAACUAUGCGACCUUCUUCUCCCCUGAAUUUCUUUCCUCAAACAAGCUCUGGACUUCAUACAUGAAAUUGGUUGGCUUCUCCGUAGAAGUAAGUUGAAGUUUAGAUUGGGUUUUCUAGAUCCCAACUUGGAUACAUUUCUCUUCUAGCGUUUCAGAUGGCUUAUAGAGUUCUCAGUCAAACAUGACUGGUGUGCAGUGGUCAAGAUGCUUUUGAAUGUUCUGGUCAUCAAACUCAUGGGUGAAGAAAAACGCUCUUCAAUUGAAGAUGCACUGCUGGAAAAUGGGUUGCUCCAUAAAGCUGUUCGACGAAAUUGUAGGUCCAUGGUUGAAGUCCUCCUAAGAUACCAUCUAGAUGCAGAUCUGAAAAAAUCAAGUCCAAUCUGCUAUGUAUUUAGACCGAUGUCAAAGGCCCUGGGGGCUUGACUCCUCUGCACAUAGCAGCCGGAUGCGACGGAGCUGAGCAAGUGCUGGAUGCAUUAACUGAUAAUCUUGGACUGGUACGGCUCUUCUUAAUAUGCAUACUGUUAUUAGCGGAACAUUACUUUUGGAAAUGGAAAAAUAGUGCUCAGAUCCCUCAGUGGAAAAAUACGGCCUUCCUAUUAUCUUUAAUUUGUGGUUGAAGAUUUGGGACUCCCAAUUGAGUCCAUAUUUUUUCCACCACAUAAUGUUCCAUUCGGUGAUUGUCUGAGGAAAGAAAUUCAGGGGAGAAGAAGGUCGCAUAGUUGCUGGACAAAAUUGCCCUCAGGCAUUGCCACGUGUAAUGCUAAUUUCAGAACUUAAGAGUAAUUAACGACGAAAUGGUCACGAUUUUACAGAUUAAAUUGUUUAGUGGCCAAUUAUUAACAAAAAAUAGUUCGAUGGCCAAAACAUGAUCCCGGCAAUAGUUUAAUGACCGCUGAGAUUUUUUGCCAAAAAAAAAAAGCAUUGACUUUAAAAAAAAAAGAGAGAGAGAAUGCUAGCCACCUUCAAAAGAACAAAAAAGGAUAUAAAUAUACACUUAGGCUAAGUUUGGGAGUUUAGGAUAGAAAAGUGAAGAAGGGAGAACUUAAGUUACGAGAGGACAGAAGAGAUUGUUAUGUUGUUUGGAAAUUUUGAGAAUUAAUUGAAUAAUUUUGGAUAUGAAAGUCAUUAUAUUUGUUCAAGACAUUUUUAAGGAUAAAAUAGAUAUUUUAAAAAAUUUUCAUAAGGUUCCUCCUAAUUUCUUUUUAUUUCUCUCCAAUUUGGGAGGAAAAAUUUUACCUACUAUUCAUGGCUAAUUUCUUAGAAUAUAUGUAUAAAAAAAAACAUCCGUCAAAUGUAGCUUUGACACAGGGUAUUUUUCAAUUUUAUACCUGCCGUGCUGAGUCAGCAUGGCAGCAAACUGAAUUUUCCCUUCCCAGCCAAAUGGUGUCGGCCGAUCAGAGCCUCUGCAAAAAUUUCAAUUCGAUCAGUGGCGGAAAUUUUUUCUUUUAAAUCAGCCUGUCCCCUACCGUGCUGACUGGGUAUGGCUAGGGACAGCCAGUCCAAAAAAAAAAAAGGGCCAUGCGCCUUUGUUAGGGUUUGACCAUUACUGAUUAUUGAACUUUCAAAAACACCCCAUAUUUCUACCGAUCUCCUUUGAUUUCAAAAUUGUUAGAUGCAACCACUUGAAAAAUUUACAUACUUUAUUUGUUUGUUAAAAAAAAAAUCAUGCAAUAGAAAUUCAAUAAUUAACACUAAAAAAAUAGUACCAAAAUUUGAACUAAACAAAAUUCAAGACAUUUUUCUAGUAUUUAGCCACUAAUUUGUUUAAAAAAAUGAAAAGACAUAGCUAACCAUGGUUGUCUCAAAAUUAUUUUGUCUCCAAAAGUUUUUUUUUUAGUACUUUACCCUUUUCGUCAGUCAAAAAUAAUGUUUGAUCAUGUUAUAAAUUACUUAACUUUGGGAGGUGUUCAUGUUUCUAUUAGUUGGAACUUUUGGACAAAAUUACCUAUCCGUUUGGAUUAGCUAUUUUUGGGGUUAUUUUUAAAAAAUAGCACUAUAGCAUUUCGUUUUUGAAAUACAAGUCCGUUUGGAUUAGUUGUUUUUGGGGUUAUUUUUUAAAAACAAUAUGAAAAACUUUUACUGUAGAUGUUUUUUGGAUUAUUUUUAGAGGUAUUUUUAAAACACAUUUUUGAGUAUUUUUAUAAUUUAUAAUUUAUAUACAUUUAUGCAUUUAUAAUACAUUUAUAAAUAUUUAUAAAUAAAUAUAUUUAUAUAUUUAUAUAAAAAUAUAUAAAUGUAUUAUAAAUGUAUUAUAUUAUAUAUAAUACAUAAUAUAAAUAUAUUUAUAAAUGUAUAUUAUUAUAAAUGUAUAAAUUAUAAAUGAAUAUUAUAUAAAUGUAUAAUUUAUAAUUUAUAAUUUUUAUAUAAAUAUACAUUUAUGCAUUUAUAAUACAUUUAUAAAUAUUUAUAAAUAAAUAUAUUUAUAUAAAAAUAUAUAAAUGUAUUAUAAAGGUAUUAUAUUAUAUAUAAUACAUAAUAUAAAUAUAUUUAUAAAUGUAUGAGUGUAUAUUAUUAUAAAUGUAUAAAUUAUAAAUAAAUAUUAUAUAAAUGUAUAAAUUAAUAUAUUAUAAAUAUAUAUUAAUAUUAUGUAUAAAUGUAUUAAUAUCAUUAAUAUAAAUGAAUAAAUGUAUUAAUAUUAUGUAUAAAUGUAAAAUUAAUAUUAUGUAUAUUAAUAUAAAUGUAUAAAUGUAUUAUAUUAUAUAUAAUACAUAAUAUAAAUGUAUAUUAUAAAUAUACAUUAAUAUAUAUAUUAUGUAUAAAUGUAAAUUUAUAUAAAUGUAUAAUAUAUAAAUAUUUAAUAUAUAUAAUAUACAUCAAUAUUAAUUAUAAAUAUUAUAAUAUUAUAAAUAUGGUGUUUAUAUAAUAUUUCAAUUUGUAAUAUUUAUUGUAUAUUUCAUUAUAUAAAUAUUUAUAAAAUAUAUAAUAUAUAUUUUUCAAUUUGUAUAAUAUACAUAAUAUUGUAUAUAUAAUAUAAUAUAAUAUAUUAUACAUAAUAUACAUUUAUACAUUAUUAACUAUUAUGUAUAUUAUAUAUUAUACAUAACAUUAUUAUACAUUAUUAUACACAAUAAUUUACAUAAUAAUAUUAUACAUUAAUAAUGUAUAUAUUAUAAUAUAAUGUACAUAAUAUAUUAUGUAUAAAUAUUUAUACAUUUAUGUAUACAAUAUUACAUAUUUUGUAUAUUAUAUUAUAUUAUGUAUAAUAUACAAUAUUAUGUAUAAUAUUAAUGUAUAUAAAUAUUUAUAUAAUAUAUAAAUAUAUAAAUAUAUAAUUUUCAAUUUGUAUAUUUCAAUUUAUAUUAAUAUAAUAUAUAUAUUAAUGGUGUUUUUGGAAUUAUUUUGGAAAUACACAUUUAAUGUAGCAUUUGGAAUGUGAAAAAUAGUUUUUCAAAAACAGAAGCAAAAACAAGGAAUCCAAACGGAUCCCACACUUUUUCUAACAAAUCCCUCUCAUAAACCUUACCAAAGCUUACCCUUUCUACUUUAAAGAAAGAACCAUGGUUUGCUAUGUCUUUUCAUUUUUUUAACAAAUUAGUGGCUAAAUACCAGAAAAAUAUCCUGAAUUUUGUUUAGUUCAAAUUUUGGUACUAUUUUUUUAGUGUUAAUUAUUGAAAUUCUAUUGCGUGAAUUUUUUUUCUAACAAACAAAUAAAGUAUGUAAAUUUUUCAAGUGGUUGCAUCUAACAAUUUUGAAGUCAAAGGAGAUCGGUAGAAAUAUGGGGUAUUUUUGAAAGUUCAAUAAUCAGUAAUGGUCAAAGCCUGACAAAUGCACAUGGCCCUUUUUUUUUUCAUGGACCGGCUGUCCCUAGCCGUGCCCAAUCAGCACGGCAGGGGAUAGGCUGAUUUUUUUAAAAAAAUUUUCGCCGCUGAUCGCACUGAAAUUUUUGCAAAUGCUCUGACCGGCUGACACCAUUUGCCUGGGAAGGGAAAGUUCAGUUUGCUGCCGUACUAAAUCAGCACAGCAGGUAUAGAUUGAAAAAUACCCUGUGUCAGAGCUACAUUUGACAGAUUUUUUUUAUAUACAUAUAUUCUAAGAAAUUAGCCUACUAUUCAUCCUCCCAUUUUUUUUCUUUUCUUUCUUACUAAAAACUCACAAACAAAAGAAAAUCAGACUUUAUCUUCUCUCCCUUUCUUUUCAGUCCAAGCCCUCAACUCCCAAAGGCACCCUUAUAUUAGUUCCGUUUGGAUUAGCUGUUUUUUGAGGUGUUUUUGAAAAAUUUUACUAUAAUAGUGUAUAUAAAUUUUUUUUUGAAAUAUUUAAUAUAUUGUAUGGAUGAGAUGUUUUUUUAGUUAUUGUGUAACACUGUAACAUUAUAUUUGAAAAACUUAGGGUUUGUUUGGAUUGCUUCAUAUUUUCCCAAUUUUAUUUGCUUACAUCAUCUUUACAAUUUCCAAUACACCUUUUUAUCUUCCCAAUAUCUUUUUAUCUCACAUACAUCACAUCACAAAAAGUGCUACAGUAAAAAUAUCUCAAAUAAUCCCAAAUAACUUACAAUCCAAACAGACCCUUAUUUUAGUAAAAAUACCCAAUACUAGGAUUUUGGAUGAUUUGUUAAUAUAUGGAAGGCAAUUUAUUGCUUAAUAGUAGGAUUUUGGUAUAAAUUAUGAAAAACAAUACGAUAUAUUGCACCAUUAAUGUUUAAUUUCUAACGAUUGACCAAAUUAUGACAUUUGAUUUUUAAUAACUUACUUAUAACACAAAGCACAAGAGAAGUUCUACGAUGCAAUUAGGAGGAGGUACUAGCAAAUAAAACAACAGCUACCCCCAAUCAAACUAUUAAAGUUCAAGCCAGGUCGUAUAAGCACAAUUAGCGCAAAUCUUCAACAUCACGUGUUAGAUACUUGGAUAUAUCUAUGAAAUGUACGGACCUGUUUGGCACCCUAGUUUUUUACCAAAUUUUUUACCUACUAAUUUUUUAAUAAUUUUUGCUACAGAAAUCCAAAAAAUUUCCCAAAAUUUUUUAUCUACACACUUCAAAAAUCUAUACACACAAAAUUCCUCAAAAACUUUUCUUUUUCCCUCACCCAACCCACCACACCAGCCACCACCUCCAUCAUCUCUCCCGGCGCCGGUAACCUCACAAAAAAUUUCUCUAAUUAAACCUCAAGUUUUGAUUUUGUCCGCUUCAAGCGCCGGAAGAUUCAGUCCGCUCUGAAACAACCAACAAAAAGUUCAUAUCUCACCAAUUCUGCUCACUCUCUUUGAGCCUUCUCUCCCUGCCGUCACAGCAUGAAUUUUAAUGAAAACCAUUUUAAUGAAAUGAAAAAUUAGCAGAGCUACCCAAAAAAAAGAAAAAAAACCCAAGAAAAUUAAUACUAGGAUUUUAGGAGGAGCAACAAAUACAAAAGAGAAAACAAAUCAUCAAGAAGAAGAAGAUGGAGGAGCCCAAAAGUACUUUUCCCAAGCAACGAAGGAACAAGACUCUGAUCAGCAGAAUGGGCAAAGCCGGGGGUGGUGGAGGGAUUGGAGUUGGAAUUAUUUUCUUGGGCGGAGCAGUAGCCAGUGCUACUGCAGCUUUCCUCAUCAAGAGGCGGCUCCAAAAGUCCACCAGAAAUAUCAAGAAUUGCAGCCAUGAUCCGUCAACUCCAUCCGCUGAGAUUCCUUACAAAUUGCUGGAGGACAAAAACACAAAUCAAGCCAAGGGCCUAAAGUUUAUUGCUCGCGAUUCAAAUUCUCCUGCAUGUACGGAUACGUAUCAAAACUUGAGGUUUGUAAUUGCCGAAAGAUCCUGGUGGGGGGAGGGAGAGGGAGGGGGGAGAGGAGAAAAGCAAAAAAGAAAAAAAAAGAAAAAGAGCAGAGGUAGUACUGACAGAGGUGCUGGAGGUGGGAGGCGAACGGGAAGUGGGAGGGGAAAGGAAGAAGAAGUAAAGGAGAGGAAAGAAAAGAAAAAGGAAAGAAAGAAAAAGAAAAAGAAAGAGAAAGAGAAAAAAAAAAGUUUUUCGCUUCAUAAAAAUUUCUACAAAAUUUUUCACAUUCUAAAAACUUUUGUAAAAUUUUUUUAAAAACUUAUACAAUACACUAUAGUAAAAUUUUAGACAAACUCUUAAAAAACUCAGGUUCAAACAGACCGUAGUUUCGUGGAAUUAAACUUCUGCAAAUAUGAAUCAAUUAUUAAAUAAAAGAAAUAAAUUGAUUUACUUUUUGUGCCCUUAUUGCUAUCAUACUUACCUAUUCCCUGUAAUUUGCUAGACUUGAUUAGAUUUAGAAGCAAGUAAAACAACGUUCUCAAUCGCGAGGAAGAAACCAUUCGAUCAUCAAAAAGAGCACGCCCAUAAGAAUUCCACACAAUAUGGAUUCAAAGAUCCGACAACUCAAGGAACAGAAGAACGCACUAGAAUUUAUUUAAUAUGGUAAAUCACAGAUCACCAUAGAUUCAUAUAUCUAGGUAUAAUCAAUCACAGAUCACCAUAGAUUCGUAUAUCUAGGUAUAAUCAAAGGCGUAUUUACAUCUCCAAGUUCAUAAAAAACAAAGAAAUCAGAAGAUCAACAUUUGAUAAUCACAGCCGAUGACGAUGACGAUGACGAUGAUAUUUAUGAUCUUCAGUCUUCGUUCUUAAUAGGAUCUUCAUAGUUGGGAUCAUUUACGUCGAGAGCUUCUUUGGGGAUCCGUCCUAGCUCAACAUCAGAGUAACCGUCACCGGACCACGUGAACUUGCCGCCAUGGCCACCUUUCUUCGGCGAUCCAUUCAUGCCUGUAGCCGAUUUCCUGUCUCUCCUGAUCUCCUGACCGUUGCCGGCCUUCACAUUUGUCUUGGAGCUUUUGCCGGAAUUCCUCAUCUGUCUCUCUCCACUCGUGGCUCUUCUGUAGCUACUCUAUCAAUUGAAGCGAGUGAGAACAGGAAACCCAGGUUGGCAGAAUUUAUAGGAAGCUGGGGUGGUUUGUACAUUGGGAGCGGUAUUUUAAUCGCGACCUUGUGGGCUG